rnacentral:lncRNA from 1 species
UUGCAGUCUUUGGGCACUUCUUGAGAUUUGAACAACCAGAAAGGUUAAGACUCUUCAGACAUCUUGAAUUAAUUCUACUGGGCAGAUUGAUUAGGCUUGUGCAGCCUCUCAAAUCUAAAUCAUUAAGCUUGUCCAGAUGCUCUAUAGAUGAAGGAACCUUAACCAAACUUGUACAGAACUGAAGAUUCAGGCUUUCAAGGUUUCUGGCCUUUGAAAGGUCUGGCAGGGAAGUUAUGUGCUCACAAUUGCUGAGGUUGACAUCUUUUAAAUUGACGAGAUUCUGAAGCAAAAUGAAAUCAACAGAAAGAAAUUACACGUGCAUACCACACCAAAUUUCAAAGAAACAACUAUGCAUGCAUAGAGUUAUUUUAGAAUACCUGGUCUCCUCUCCACAGUUGCUUAACCUUGCUAGAUGAUAGGUUAAGUUCAACAAGGUUCUGUGGACGAAAAUUGCAAGGCAAAGAUGUCGAAGGGUAUCCAUCCCAAUGGAGAUACCUCAACUCAUGAGAAAGAGACUCGAGGCCACUAGGAAGGUGCACUGUGCAUUUAUCUCCAGCUACAGAAUUAUAAAUUUUUAGCAGUCUAAGAUUAUACAACCUUGCGAAGGCUGUAGAACUCAACUCUAUUUCUCUUAUUUCUGAAACAUUCAGAACAUCCCUUCAACGUUUUCAGUUCUUAGUUUUGAAACAUCCAAGAAUAUCCCUUCAACUUUUCCAGUUCCCUGAAAACCAGUAAAGGAGAAGCAAAGUUUAAGUAAUAUUUUAAACUUACAAGUACAACCAUAUUGCAUUGCAUAGGAAAGAGAUAACUUUGGGGUAUAUGAAUCACACCAGAUUAUUAGUCAACACUUGAUAUGCAUCUUUUGGAUUCCACAAUCUGCUCUGUCUUCCUAGCUCAUCAAGAGAUUCUUUACGAACAACUUCAUGGGCCAUUUCUUGCAAAAGAUCAUGCAUUUCAACCUUGUCAUCUGAAAUUUUAAUGAGACACCUGUCAAUGAGAACACUAAAUCCAAUAUCUGUUUUGAAACCGCAGCCAUCUAGUAUCCGCUUUACAAAAUCAACUCGUUGCCCUCUAAAGAAACAUGCAAUGUCGAGAAAUAUACUCUUCUCUUCACUAUCAAGUGCUUCAUAACUUAUUCUCAACACACUAUGAACUUUUUGCCGAGUUAGUUUUUCAUCCUUGUUCAAUGCACUUUCCCAUUCUUUUGUCGUUCUGCCAAAUAGAAAGGAACCUAAGACUUUAAGAGCUAACGGAUUCCCUUUAGCGUAAUUUAUUGCCCUCACAGACAGCUCCAUAUAAUUGUAUGGGAGCUGGUUAUCCUUAAAUGCAUGCAAACUAAAGAGAUGAAGGGCUUCCCGGUAAUUCAGUCCCCCAACCUCAAAUAUUUUGUCUGCAUAUUUCUUAAGGACCUGUUUAUCUCUAGAUGUUAGGAUAAUUCUGUUGAACUUUUGAUAUUCAGAAAGACAAACAAUUAAAGAAAGAAAAACACACUUUAUUGAUGGAUGAUAUUAAUGCAGCAGCUACAAGCCUUUAUAUAGGCAUUUUACUUAACAGACUUCCUACAAAUAAGACGCGGAAUGACUAUAAAAUAGAAAGAAUAAAACAACUGACUUUGCUAAUCACACUGCAACAAAUUCCUUGUGACUAGGAUUAUUCCUAUUUUAUUGGAAAACAAAUUGACUAAACCAGCAUAUCACUCUUGACUCAGUCACGGUCUGAUGUUGAUUAACUUUAACACUCUCCCUCAACAUCUGCUUCUGUAAUUCUUAUCAAACCAAGCUGCUGACAGAAAGCUUCAAAUUUAUUGCUACUCAGGCCCUUUGUAAAUAUGUCUGCAACUUGAUCUUCUGAUUUGAUCUGCUUCAAUUUAACUUCUUCUUCUAAAACCUUCUCUCGGAUGAAAUGAUAAUGCACUUCCACAUGUUUUGUUCUUGCGUGAAAUACUGGGUUCUCUGCUAGACGAACAGCUGAUUGAUUAUCACAAUACAAUGGAAUUGCAUAAUCUGUCACUUGAUGUAAAUCAUUCAUCAGCCUUAUUAACCAUGUACUCUCUUGAGCUGCCAUUGCUGCUGCACGAUAUUCGGCCUCUGUUGUUGACAGAGACACUGUUGGUUGCCUUUUGCUGCACCAAGAAAUCGAUCCUGACCCAAGUCUAAACACAUAUCCAGUAGUUGAUCGACGAGUGUCAUGAUCCCCUGCAUAGUCAGCAUCACAGUAGCCAACCAUUUUACAGUCUUCACCUUUCUUGUACAGCAAACCAUAGUCAAAUGUGCCCUUCACAUACCUCAGGAUUCUUCGGGCUGCUUCCAAAUGAGGCUUCUUUGGAUUUUGCAUGUAUCUGCUCAUUACACCUACUGCAUAUGAAAUAUCAGGUCUGGUCACAGUUAGAUAUAACAAGCUUCCCACCAUCUGUCGAUACAUUGUAGCAUCUUGCAGCUCCUUGCCUUCAUGUGCACACAUUCUGGUAUUUGGGUCCAUAGGUGUUGCAGUUGCUUUACACUCUAGCAUCCCAAACUUUUCCAAAAGGUCUUUGGCAUAUUUUUGCUGACAUAGAAUUACUCCUCUGCGUGUGAUACUUAUCUCUAAACCAAGGAAAUGAUUCAGCUGUCCUAGUUCCUUCAUUUCAAACCGAACAGACAAAUUCUCCUUGGUUUGGCAGAUUUCUUCAACAUCAUUUCCUGUGAUGAUUAUAUCAUCGACAUAUACGAGUAGUAUAGCUAAUUUUUCACCAUUAGCUUUAACAAAUAAGCUGGAAUCUGCAUGGCUUACUGAAAAUCCACUCUUUGUUAAGAAUUCGGCAAUCUUACCAUACCAAGCCCUUGGUGCUUGUUUCAACCCGUAGAGUGCCUUUCUCAGCUUGCAUACGUAGUUGGGAUGACUUUGAUUUUGAAACCCCAUUGGCUGAUCCAUAUAGAUCUCUUGAUCUAGCUCUCCAUGCAAGAAAGCGUUCUUCACGUCCAUCUGCCACAAGAUCCACUCCUUGUUGGCUGCAACAGCGAGUACAACUCGCACGGAUGUAAGUUUUGCAACUGGACUAAACGUUUCGUCAUAAUCUAGUCCAUAUUGUUGAGAAAAUCCUCGUGCUACCAGGCGAGCCUUGAGUCUUUCAAUUGUUCCAUCUGUGCGUCGUUUUAUCUUAUACACCCAUUUACAUGAAAUGGGUUCCACAUCCUCUGGUCUUGGUACAAGAUCCCAGGUCUGAUUUUGUUGUAGUGCUGUAAUCUCUUCUUCCAUAGCCUUAUUCCAGUUUGAAUUUUGAGAAGCUUCUGUAAAGGUUUCUGGUUCUUUUACACCUUCUACCACUGCAGCAUUUGCAUAUUUUGCAUUUGGCUUCUUCAUUCGUGUUGAUCUUCUAGGUGGAUUUGAUGUUGUUGCUGCAUUGAAUUCUUCACUUGGCUGGUCAUGUAUACCAGUUUGCCACGGGUUCUCUUUAAUUUCAGCAUCAACAUCAAUUACUUCUUCUUGACUGUCAGUGUUAUCUUCAUCUUUGUUCAACUGGAUUCGAGCAAUUUGCAUUUCUUCUUUAAGCCCUUCUGAGUCUGGUAGUGAUUGAUGUUCUAUGGACCACCAUGAAGAUGAUUCAUCAAACACAACAUUUCUGGAUGUGUAGCAUUUUCCAGUAAUUGGAUCACAGCAUCUCCACCCUUUCCGUUGAUUAUCAAAACCAACAAAAAUACAUCUAACAACCUUCUUGUCCAUCUUGCUGCGUAGAUGAUUAGGUAUAAAAACAUAACAUACACAUCCAAAAACUCGAAAAUAGCUCACUGUGGGUUUCUUAUUCCAUAGCUUUUCAAAUGGUGACUGGAAAUCAAGCCUCUGCUGUGGAAGCUUGUUGAUUACAAAAGCUGCAGUCUUCAUUGCUUCUGCCCACCAUCUACCUGGAACAUUCUUUGCAUGAAGCAUACUUCGACAAGUCUCUGCUAAAUGCCUGUUCUUCCUCUCAGCAAUACCAUUUUGCUGCGGGGUAUUUGCACAGGUGAAUUGAUGAUUAAUUCUGCAAUCUCUUAGAUAGUAAGAGAAUUCAUCUGAUAUGUACUCUCCCCCAUUGUCAGAACGUAGACAACAUAUUCUUUUAUUGAUCUCAGCUUCUGCCACCUCUUUGAACUCCUUGAAUCUUGAGAGUGUCUCAGAUUUUUCCUUCAUAAAAUAAACCCACACAAACUUUGAAAAAUCGUCAAUAAAUGUUACCAUGUAUUUCAAGCCACUAACAGAAGCUUGCUUAACAGGUCCAAACACAUCAGAAUGAAUGAGCUCUAAUGGUCCCUUUGCUCUCCACUUCGAUUCUUCAUAUGGCAGUUGAUGUGCCUUGCCAUAUUGACAGCCUGCACAAAUUGCAUCGAUCCUUACUUCAAGCUGAGGCAGACCCUUCAAUGCAGACCUUCUCAUCAUCAUGUUGAGUUUAGAAAAACUCACAUGACUCAGUCUUUGAUGCCAUAGAUCCACUGUCUCACUCUUCCUUGUCUUGUCUACAUAUGCUGUUUGUGCAGACAUCACAUACACUGAUUCAAGCCUCUGCCCCUUUAUCACUGGUUCAUCUAGACUUUCAAGAUCACGGUACACUUUAACAUCUUGAGGACCAAAGAGAACAAAGUGUCCUGAAGAUGUUAAUUGUGCCACUGACAAGAGGUUUUUCUUCAUUCCAGGAACAUGAUAAACAUUUUGUAGUGACACAUCCUUGAGAUUAAGUUGGGAAGAGACUACGGCAUCCCCAACAUGGGCUAUAGCCAGCUUUGAAUUGUUUGCUGUGACUACUACGUGUUUUCCCUUGUAUUCCACCAGAUUCUUCAAUUUUUCUUUGUCACCUGUCAUAUGAUUUGAGCAGCCUGAAUCAAUGAUCCAGUCCUUUUCAUAAUCAAUAUGUUCAGGUGUUGUUACUGUGAAGGCUGCCUCUUUUACUUCAGUAAAGAAUGCAUGAGCAUCCCAUUCAUCUUCUAUUUUGAAGGUAGCUGUAUUACCUUCAACAUGCUCCUUCUUUUGCCAACAGUCUUUUGCCAUAUGACCCUUCUUCCCACAGUUAUAGCACUUCCCUUCAAAUUUUCUUUUGAUCCCGUAGCCCCUUGCUUCACUGGAAUUUCUUUCUUCUCGAUUGAACUUUGUUUUGUCUUCAUUUCUUUUGGAUCUGUCAUUGGCAUGUUGCUUUGGCUUCCAUCUGCCUUUAUGGACAUAAAGUGCAUCAACUUCACCCUUGAGUGCAACUUCUCCCAUUUGUUUGGCUAGUGCUUCUUGACCAGCCAGCAGAUUCUCAAACUCAACAAGUGAUGGUUGAGUCUGCCAUCCUUGUACUGCCGCAACAAAGCUUCUGAAAUCUGGCCGCAAACCAUGGAUAAUUAUCCUUUUCAUCCUGGUUUCACCAAUUGGAGCUUCUGCAUCCAAUUCAGAAAUUUCUCGACAAAGUGUCUUCACCUUGUGGAAAAACUAGGCAACAGUUAGUUCACGUUGAGCUAUUGACAGCAGCUCACUCUCUAACAGUUGAAGCUUUGUAUCAUUCUUCUUUGAGAAUAAAUCUGCAAACGUCUUCCAGGCUUCAUGAGGAUUUUUGGCAUCCCGAAUGUGUUCCAACACAUCUUCUUCAAUUGUUGUUUUCAAAGCAAACAUUGCUUUGCCUGCUUUAAUCUUCCACUUUCGUAAUGCACCAUUUGCAUCCUCAGCCUCUGGUUGUGUAAUUUCACAGCCAUUCACAACUUCCCACAAAUCCUGGCCCUGCAUGUAAGACAUCAUGCACGUUGACCAAGUAUUAUAAUUCUGGUUGUUGAGCUUCUUAAUUCCCCCAAUAACUUGAAGAUCACCCAUCUCACUCUUUUCUUUUCCUCACGUGUUUGACUCUCAAAUAUCAAAUAAAACACUCUCUCUUGAACCCGGCUCUGAUACCAAUUGUUGAACUUUUGAUAUUCAGAAAGACAAACAAUUAAAGAAAGAAAAACACACUUUAUUGAUGGAUGAUAUUAAUGCAGCAGCUACAAGCCUUUAUAUAGGCAUUUUACUUAACAGACUUCCUAUAAAUAAGACGCGGAAUGACUAUAAAAUAGAAAGAAUAAAACAACUGACUUUCCUAAUCACACUGCAACAAAUUCCUUGUGACUAGGAUUAUUCCUAUUUUAUUGGAAAACAAAUUGACUAAACCAGCAUAUCACUCUUGACUCAGUCACGGUCUGAUGUUGAUUAACUUUAACAAAUUCUACUUCCUGGACCAAAAUCACAUCCUCCAAGUAACAUUUCAAUUUGAUCUACAUCAUUCACAUCAUCGAAAACAAUCAGAACCUUUUUACGGCUGAUCCUGUCUUUAAUGAAAGGGUGUCCAAUACGUGGAGUGCGAAUAUGUAGAUUUUCUUCCUCUGUUAUUUUAGAGAAAAGUCAUCUCGCAUACCAAAUAAUCCUCCAUUCUUUUCUGAUUCCCUCACAUUUGCAAGAAAAUAGUGACCUUCAUAUUCCCUUGCGAUCUUGUUGAAAAUCUCUCCAGCAAGGGUUGUCUUACCAGUACCACCCAUGCCCCAAAUUCCUACAAAAAUAUAUAUUUUUAGUUAUUUAUAAAUUUUUUUUUGCUGUUAUUUGGCUAAGGCAUGCAUUAUAGGAUGCAGGUUGCUGUUUGAGAGUGGAUGGCAACACUUAAUAUUUUAUUUUUUACAAAGAAUAGGUUGUCUGUUUUUUUUUUUUUUAAAAAAAAACAUGGGAAGAAUAAUAUAUCAUCUACUCCUUUAAUCCAAAGAAAAUAAAUAGAUUAGGGUAGGUGUUGAGCCCAACCCUUUGUGAGUUCUCUCUAUUCCCGGUGCGUACAAAUUGUCCCGGACACCCACGUUAAUAAAUAAUAAUAAUAACCAUGAGGGGUGUAGUUCAAUUGAUCAAGUCUUGAGUUUGCUCCCUAGAGAUCACCAGUUCGAAUCCCAUAAACCUCAGGGCUACUAGAGGGCUUACAUGAUCGUUAACUUCAAGGCACGUGUGAUUAGUCGAGGUGCGCAAGCUAACCCAGACACCUAUGUUAAUCUAAAAUAAUAAUAAUAAUAAUAAAUUAUUAAUAAAGAUUCAAUUAAACUCAGUGUUUUAUAAUUAAAAAUUUUAAAUGUACUUUAAAAAUAAUUAUAUCACAUUUAAGAUUUUUUUUAGUUUUUGACCACAUAAAAUAUGAAUAUAAUAUUUUGAUUUUUUUGUUGACUUACUUUAACAAUUUUAAAAUAUUUUUGUUUUCAACAAAAAAUAUCAAUUAAAAACAUGGUGUUGGUAAAGAUAAACAAGAGAUAUAUUAUCUUAAUAUUUUUUAAAAAAUAAUUAUAUUUUUAUGUUUAAUAAUAAUACUAAAAAAUUUCUUAAUACCUUCAAUUUUAUUAUUUUGAAAGAAAUAAGAUCACUGACAACGUAGCAUGGAAAAGCAUUCUCUAAGCUAAGUCUAGGGAAAGUCUUGUUUAGGAAAUAAACAUAGGCCUAAACUGAAAGCGCCUGCUUAUGUUUGGCUAAAUAAAAAAAGAUGGGCAGGAAUGUACAAUACCUAAAGGAGUAUGGGAGGUGCCCGAGCCCUUUGGACAGUGCCUCUUGGUGUCCAAAAAUACCCUUAUGUCGUGUUGUUGGGAGCAUCGCCAUGUCCUUUUUCUAUUGGUUUGAUGUGCGUCUCUAGUAUGUAUUUUUUCGCAUUAUUUCCUCUCUCCUCCUUGAAAAAUUACAAUUUUCCCAUGAUACUUCAAUUUCAGUUUGGUAAGCUUGGGCUGGUUCAACUGAACUGCUCUCCAAUCUGGUUGGUCCCAAGUGCACAACUCUCCAGUCCACUUAGGCUAACCCAAUCAGACUCGCUCAGAGUCACCGCCUCGAUUGAGGUAUCAUGCAAAUUCCUUGCAUUAGCCCACAUCACAAUGUAUUAUUAUGAACUCCAAAAGGUCACCAUGGCGCCACGCACCUUCUAGUGCUACCAUAGUUAUCAGAUUCGACCCGGGGUGGAGCUGGCCAAAAAAUCAGGUCUCGGGUUGACCCGGGUCAACUCGCAUCAACCUGAAAAAAUUAUAAAAAAUUAAAAUUUUAAUAAUUCAAAUGAAAAAAAUUAAAAAAGAAUUAAUGUGAAUAUAGGCUAUACAUGUUAUAAAUAAUAAAGUUUAAAUGAUUAUUUCAAAAAGUUUUUUAUCCUACAUUGAAAAGAUACCAUAUUAGUAUGUUGUUGCUACCCAAUUUUUCACCCAUGUUUUUAAUAUAUUUUCAAAAAGUCAAAAAAUAGAGAAAAAACAAUGAAAAUCCAAAAAAUAUGUUUUUUAAUAUAUUCUCGUCAUUUUAGCAUUUUUAGCGUCGUCUAAAAAAGAAUUUAAAUUUUCAAAAGAUUUUCAAACGCGUUCGACUUUUCACGCGUCAUUUUUAAAAUCAUUGAUUUUCCUCAUUGAGUCGACGUUGACAUUGCUCGUUUUCAAAAAUAUACAAAAAAGUAAGAAAAAUUAAAAUUUACAAAAAGAAAGAAGUUGAGGGACCAAGUUGAAAAACCUAGCAAUAUUUCACCUAUAAAUACCAGUCUUCUCAACACAUUUAGGGGUGGGGCAAUUUUGAAACAUCAGAAAAAUACAAAAAAAACCCUAACCCUAAAACCCAUCUCUUUCAACGCCAGCAGCCGCCCCCCCAUCUGGUGAUUUUUUUUUCCCCUUCACUUUUCCAAGUCUUCUUCACCUGGCCAAGCCGAAAGAGGAGCGGCGCCCCCCUUAGAUUUGGCUUUCUUCUUCCUUUAGCCAAAAAGCCUGACUUCCCCUCUACAGAAAAAGCAACCGACUGGACAAGCCCUUUUCUUCUCCAUCUCCAGCCCUCCUUUGGCCAAAGUAUCCAUCACUUCCCUUUUCCCCUUCGCCGACCUCCAGCAGCGGUAGCUUCUGCCCACAGCCGACAGACCCAGCUCUCACUGCCGAACACGCCGACACCGCCUCCAACAAGCCACACCGCAACAGUGCCGCCCUCUGCAACUUCAACAGCCCCAGCUCAACCACACGCCGGACAAAAGCCAGAGCAGUUCCCCUUCGCUCUCCCAUCUCGCCGGUUGCCUCACCAUCUUCCCCGACCUCUUCAUCUCCUUCAGCACCGAAGCUUCCUCCAGCAGCUUCGACAACGGCUCCCAUCUCCACCGCCAGCAGCAGCAGCGCCGUCCUCGCCAGCAGCCACACACGGGAGCGUCGGGGCCACACUCUUCACCUUCUCCCCCGGGCAGCGCCCACAGACCCACCUCCAGAACUGCCCGCAGUGGCCACCGCAGCCGACCAUCACUGGAUCUGCAACCGGCGAAGGAAUAAAAACAGAUCUGCAAGAAAAAAAAACAGAUCUAAAAAUGAAACAAACAAAUUAAAAUCAACUGCCUGUGUGGUUUUCGGAUGCUUUGCAGGUCGCCACCGGCGUUGGGAGACUGAGAAGAGGGAGUCGAUCCAACCCCCCCUGUUGUUCGGUUUUCUUGAGGCGGCGGCGCGUGGGGAGACGCGCCGCUAGUGUUUAGGGACUAUUUUGUAAAUUUUAAAUUAAUUAAUGUAAUUUUCAUUUAUUGGUUUUGAAUUUAUAUUGUAUAAAUGUGAUGUAAAAAAAAAAAAAAAAUAAAUAAAUAAUAAAAAGAAAGUUGUGUGUGUGUUUGCAAUUUUGUUUAUGUCAUUGAAUUAUAAAAAAUAAAAAAAAGGACAAAAAGAAUUAAUUGUUAAUUUAAAUAUGGUUAAAUAUCUCAAGGACAAAUAAAAUCAAGUUGUAUUUUCCACAAAAAUGUAAGAACGAGUUUCUACAUAUAUUCGGGGAUUUAAUAACUGAUUUAUUCAAGCCUUAGAAUUUAAUUAAUAUUUUAAAUUUUCAAAAUCACAUCAGAACACAAAGCAGCUUACCUCAGGUAGGGUGCGUUAGGGGUGCUAAUACCUUCCCUAACCACAACCAGUCCCUUACCCGCGAUCUCUGACAAGACCAGUACAUCAGGUUUCCUAGUAGCCCUCAAUGAAUUACUAGGUGGCGACUCCAACGAACGAAUUCAAAGCAAACGCAAUAACGAGAAAAAUCGCCAGCCGAUGCCAUGCAGGAUUUUUUGACGUGCGACAUAUGUUAUCCUUUUAAGUUGAAGUAUUUAAACCAAAAAGGUUCUUUAUACCAUAUUGAAAAAUUUUUUUUUCUUGUGAACAUAGAAUAUAUAUACUAAAGGGCUUCAAAUCUCACAUUAAAAAAAAUAAAAUAUUAUUCUAGUAUUUAUAUAAUAAACUUUAAAAAAAUUAAUAACCCGCCUCUAAGCGAAUACAUUGAUUGCAAAUGGAGUGCUUUGGAUUGAACCCUAUCUAGUGUGGCGCUGCAGUCAAACACCAAGAUAAUUGAUCGUAGUUUCUGUCUAUCAAUUUCUUUCUUUUCUGCCCUUUUUUUAACCUCUUGAUUUUUCUCUCCAUUGAAAUUUCGUAAGUGGUGGGCUUGAAUUUGGAGGGAGUGGUGGGACUGCUAUCUUGUACGGAUCAUAGAAGGUAACAUGACGCUUCAGACUCUCGAGAUGCACGGAGAAAUCUCCAGACAUUACUUUUAAUUACUGUAGAUAACAGUUUCUUCUUAUUUUUUAAAAAUAUUAUUAUAACUACCACUACACUUCCAACGUACUGUAGAUGAAGGAAAGUUUCUAGACAUUGUCAAGAUAUAAUACCUAUGCAACCUUCAGAAAUGAGCUUCUGGUAUUAAGUUGAAAUUUCAGAAAUGAGUACACCAAGAUUUGAUUGAUUACAUGCAACCUCAAGCAAUUAGUGAAAAUGAAUUAAAAGAUGUUCCCCACAAUUGAUGAGCUUGAUGCUAGAUAAUUCAAACUCUUGCAAUUGUUUACAUCCAACUUUGAUAGCCGUGAUGGAAGCUCCGGUAAAAAUCGAAGUCUCAUGCAAUUCCUUAAUCCUAGAUAUUGCAACUCAAAGAGUUUAUUGAUGCUUAUAGGAAUAGUAUAAAAAUUGUUUCCACUUAGAUCUAACACUUCCAGUGACGAUAAAAGACCAAAACUGUCCAGCAUUUCCGAUAGUCUGCAACCAUCUAGAUUUAGCUUACGCAAACAAUCUAAAUCCAUGCAUCUCCUCGGCAAUUGCAAGUCAACAAUACAUGCGAUGUCUUUUAGAUAUUUGCAGUUUCCCACUUCCAAGAAGGCAAGUCCUUUUAGAUUUCCAAUCGGUGAAGGCAACUUUGUUAUGCGUGUCUCUUCUAGAUAGAGAUAUCUCAAACAUACCAUUGGCUCCAAAACUUCUGGGAAAUCCCUAAAUUGGAGGCAACCUGAGAGAUUAAGCCUCUGUAGGUUUUUCAACUUACUGAUUCUGCUUGGAAGAAUCUCAAAUUGUUUACAGUUUCGCAGGUGCAAUUCAUUAAGUUCACACAAACAUUCUAUUGAAGAGGGAAUCUCUCGUAUUAAAAUGAUGGUAUUUGAAUUGUUUGAGAAACAGACCUGAUGGUAUAAGCUUCUGGUAUUAAGUUGAAAUUUCAGAAAUGAGUACGCCAAGAUUUGAUUGAUCACAUGUAACCUCAAGCAAUUAGUGAAAAUGAAUUCAAAAAUGUUCCCCUCAACUACAAUUGAUGAGCUUGAUACUAGAUAAUUCAAACUCUUGCAAUUGUUUACAUCCAACUUUGAUAGUCGAGGUGGAAGCUCCGGUAAAAAUCGAAGUCUCAUGCAAUUCCUUAAUCCUAGAUAUUGCAACUCAAAGAGUUUAUUGAUGCUUAUAGGAAUAGUAUAAAAAUUGUUUCCACUUAGAUCUAAUACUUCCAGUGACGAUAAAAGACCAAGACUGUCCGGCACUUCCGACAUACUGCAACCAUCUAGAUUUAGCUUACGCAAACAAUCUAAAUCCACGCAUCUCUUGGGCAAUUGCAAGUCAACAAAACAUUCGAUGUCUUUUAGAUAUUUGCAAUUUCCCACUUCCAAGCAGGCAAGUCCCUUCAGAUUUCCCAUCGGUGAAGGCAACUUUGUUAUGCGUGUCUCUUCUAGAUAGAGAUAUCUCAAACAUACCAUCGGCUCCAAAACUUCUGGAAAAUCCCUAAAUUGGAGGCAACAUGAGAGAUUAAGCCUCUGCAGGUUUUUCAACUUACAGAUGCUGCUUGGAAGAAUCUCAAAUUGUUUGCAGUUUCGCAGGUGCAAUUCAUUAAGUUCACACAAACAUUCAAUUGAAGAGGGAAUCUCUCUUAUUGCUGUCCCAUCUAAAUACAGCUCCCUUAUAUUUCUUGACACCUUUGGAAACUCCGUGAUACUAGAGCAACCGGAAAGAUCAAGUUUUUCAAGGCAUCCCAACUUAGAAACCGCACUUGGCAGAUUCUUUAGCCUGUGGCAGCCAACUAGAUCUAAAUAAAUGAGUUCCCUUAGACCACCAAUUGAAGAUGGCAGUUCUUCUAUUGCAGUUCCAUUCAAGUACAAGUAUCUAAUGUUACUCGAAAACUCAGGAAACCUGCUGAUAGAUGAGCAGCCAGAGAUGUCGAUGAUUAGAAGAGAUUUCAACAAAUAUAUGUUUUCUGGAAGAUUCACCAGGUGCUUGCAGUUCUUCAAAUUCAACGUAACAAGUCCACUGAGUUCCCCAAUUGAUUGGGGAAGCUCCUCAACAGCAGUCUCAUUUAAAUUUAAAUAUGUCAAUUUUCUUGCACUCUCUGGGCACUUCUUGAGAUUUGAACAACCAGAAAAGUUAAGACUCUUCAGACAUCUUGAAUUAAUUCUACUGGGCAGAUUGAUUAGGCUUGUGUAGCCUCUUAAAUCUAAAUCAUUAAGCUUGUCCAGAUGUUGUAUAGAUAAAGGAACCUUAACCAAACUUGUACAGAACUGAAGAUUCAGGCUUUCAAGGUUUCUGGCCUUUGAAAGGUCUGGCAGGAAAGUUAUGUGCUCAUAAUUGCUGAGGUUGACAUCUUUUAAAUUGCCGAGAUUCUGAAGCAAAAUGCAAUCAACAGAAAAAAAUUACACUUCAUACCACACUUAAUUUCAAAGAAAGAACUAUGCAUGCAUAGAGUUCAUAAUUGAUAACGUAGAGACACAUUAGUAUAAUGAUAUAAUGCUAUAUCCUUGUCAAAAUAAGCAUUAAAUUAUUUCUACUGACUUCUUCUUCAAACGGCGAAACGCAUUGACCCAGUGAGUUUCGCGGCAUUCCGACUUUCGACGCUCCGGCUGCCGAAAUUCAAUUGCCAUUUGAAUUUUGGGUGAUCCCUCUUGAACAUGUAUGCUUCCGCUACUUGUUCUACAUCAAAGUUCAUCUCGUAGAUCAUUUAAUCGACCCUUUUCUGAUUCCUGCCUUAUGCUGGGAAGAAAGUGGUGGCCUUCAUAUUCACUGGAGAAGCUAUCGUAGAAAGCUCCCGCGAUAGUUGUCUUGCCUAUACCACCCAUGCCUCAAAUUCCUAUUUUGCGGACAAUAGAUAGUAAUUUAUUUAUUUGCUCAAUGCGUGAAUCUACUUCAAACUAGACCUCUUAAUUUGCUUGGGGAUGCGCGAUUUAACCUUUUCCAGAUAGUUUCCACAACUUCUCUUACUAGUUUGGACUCCGGACUGCAAAAAAUGAAACAACCAUCUUUAACUCCAAUUGUAUCUUUACGUCGAAUAAAAAAUCUAUAAGAAACUGGUGAAUUUUUUAUUAUUAUAAGCAAAUGUUGUCAAAGGUGAGGUUUUGAACUCAAGAUCUUGUUGAAUAUUAAACUCAAUCCAGAAGGUCAAGGAAGGCAACCAGCCACCAGUCGCCGACCAGCCACCAGCCGCCAGCCGCCUUCACACUUGAAGGUUGAAUUUUCUAGUUUUUGAUUUCGUGUAUAAAUAGAGUGCCCAGCUUCUGUUAAUGUGUGUGGAGAGAAUAGAGAGAAACACUAUAAAGAGAAAGAGAGAGAGAGAGGGCGUGUAUUGUUAAGCUUUUGUUGAUUAAUUGUAAGCUUGUGUUUUUGUAAUAAAACCUUGUGUUUUAUCCCCUCUGAGUGUUUCAAAGCCACCACUAGUGGUUUCUCCCACCAACAAUUGGUAUCAGAGCCCCGUUCGUCAGAAAACAGAAGAGUUUUGGGGUAUAUCCGAAUUUUCAAAGUUGUCAAAAACAAGUUUUGAUAAUUCCACAGUUUAGAGCUCAUCAAGACGAGCUCACUGGUGCAAGAAUCAACUUCAUCGGAGACGGAGGUAGCCCACACGCGCCGCCUGAAGAUUCUGAAUAGAUGCCCACGCGCCCAGAGGUUGAAGACGACUGAUCCACACGCGCGCCAUAUAUUGAGCAGCGCCGAGACGCUUACGUCAAGUCCUAGCUGAGCCUCAAGCCGAUCCGAGCCGAGCCGAGCCGUACCCGAGCCGCGAGCGCGCCGUACACCCCACCGAUCCGAGCCGCCAGCGUAUGUUUUGACCGGUUCACCCAGCGAACCGCCCACCAUACAGAAUUGGUGUUUUGACCGGUUCACCCAUUUUCUGACCCGAUUUCAACAAAGUCAGACCGAUUCUCGACUAUUUGGACCAUUCCGGAUCGAUCUACAGUGUAUGUUUGGCCAAAUUCGGCUCCCAAAAGGCGAUAUAGUCAUUAAAAGAGCAAAAUGACUACAGAAGGUACACAUACACUCAUCCCGAAGCUGACCAAAGACAACUAUGAUAGUUGGUGCAUCAGAUUAAAGGCAUUCCUUGGGUCACAAGAGUGUUUGGAUAUUGUACAAACUGGUUAUGAUGAACCAGAGUCCAAAGAAGAAGAAGAUGCUUUACAAGAGGCACAUAAGCAAGCCCUCAAAGUCAACAGAAAGAAAGACAACAAAGCAAAGACCAUCAUCUACCAAGGUCUUGAUGAAGAUACAUUCGAUAUCAUAGCUUCCGUUGAAACAUCACAUGAUAUAUGGGAGGCUCUCCAACAAAAAUACAAAGGUGAUGACAGAAUCAAGAAGAUUCGUCUUCAAUCUUUGCGAGGUGAAUUUGAGUUAUUGCAAAUGAAGUCCUCGAAGUCUAUUUCUGAUUCUCGAAUUACUGAGAAAAUUUUGAGAUCCCUAGAUCCAAAAUUCAAUUUUGUUGUUGUCGCAUUUAAAGAGUCCAAAGAUGUGGACAAGUUGACAGUUGAUGAGCUUAUGAGUUCUUUGCAAGCUCAUGAGCAGAAGAUUGUAAAGCGAAAUGGAGAUAAGGCAAUUGAGCAUGCCUUACAAGCAAAGCUGUCCCUCAAGGACAGAUAUGAGUAAGGGGAGACUUCAACAAGUGGUUAUACCACUCAAGCAGGAAGUCAACAAUCUAGAGGAGGAUUUCAGCAAUUCCAAGGAAGAGGAUCUUGGAAUACAAGCUUCAGAGAAAGAGGUGGUAGAAACACCACCAGAGGAGGCCGAGGACAACAAGCAUUCACUCCUAGAGGAAGAGGAGGCGGUUACAAUAACCGUGAUAAAAGGAAUAUCCAAUGUUAUAGUUGCAAUCAAUUUGGGCAUUAUACCACUGAAUGCAGAAGAAAAGCUCCGUUAGAGAUACGCGAGCAAGCCAACUAUAUAGAGAAGGAUGAUAGAGAAGAAGUUGCAUUUCUUGUCCAACAAGGACUUGAUGAGAAAAAGAAGGAUAUAUGGUAUCUAGAUACUGGAGCCAGCAAUCACAUGUACAGCUACCGAGAGUUAUUUAGUAAUCUAGAUGAGACCAAGCAAGGUCUAGUUACUUUUGAAGAUACCAUAAAGGUUCCAUUCAAAGGUAAAGGCAGCAUCCCAGUCAAGUUAAAGAAUGGCGAUUCCAGCUACAUCGCCAAUGUCUAUUAUGUCCCAGCCAUAAAGCAGAACCUGAUCAGCUAGGCAACUUUUGGAGAGAGGAUAUAUUUUUACUCGAAGAAUUGUCAUCUGACAAUUAGAGACAACAAUGGAGAUUAAUGGCCUACGUGAAAAUGUCCAAGAAUAGGAUGUUUCCUUUGAACAUCCAGUAUGAUGCAGCAAGGUGUUUGAGUGCCAUCACCAACAGUGAAGAAUGGCUUUGGCACCUGAGGCCUGGACAUCUGAAUUUCACGAGUCUGAAGAUGCUAUCAAGCAAGAAGAUGGUCAAAGUUUGCCUCACAUUGAUCAUCUAGAUAAAGUCUGUGAGAGUUGUGUCCUCAGCAAACAUCACAGAUCCAGUUUUGCCAAAGAAGUCAACUGAUGUGUGUGGCCCAAUAACGCCUAUGUCGACUGGACAAAAUAGGUACUUCCUCACUUUUACUGAUGAUUUUAGUAGAAAGACGUGGAUAUAAUUUCUGAAGAGGAAGUCAGAAGUAUUCAAUUGUUUUAAAGAUUUUAAAGCAAUUGUGGAGAAGCAAACUGGUACAUGAUCAGAACCGUGAGAUCUGAUCAAGGUGGAGAAUAUAGCAAUGACUUUGAAGCCUUUGUACACAACAAGGCAUCAGACAUCAGACGACACCAGCUUAUACACCACAGCUGAAUGGUGUAGCAGAGGAAGAAUCGACGAUUCUUGACAUGGCAAGAAGUCUGCUCAAAGCAAAGAAGUGCCCAAGCAAUACUGGGCUGAAGCUGUAUCAUGUGCAGUGUAUCUACUGAAUCGCUGCCCAACCAGAAGUUUGCAAGGUCAUUCCAGAAGAAGCAUGGAGUGGUCACAAACCAAGUGUUACUCAUCUACGAGUCUUUGGUUGUGUGGCAUAUGCAAAGAUCCCAGAUGCAAGAAGGAGAAAGCUCGAUGAUAAAGCGAGAAAUGCAUCUUUGUCGGAUAUGGUGAAAGAAGGAUGGGAUACAGUGUAUAAUCCCAUCACGAAGAAGGUAAUCAUGAGUAGAGAUGUUAUCUUUGAAGAAGAUAAAUCUUGGCAAUGGAAUGAUGACCAAGAAGCAGUCAGAUGGAUCAACACUGAUUUGAUCCUUGAAGGUGAAGAAGUACCAACAGUACUUGUUGAAGAACCGAUUGUGCCAGUAGCUGAACCACAAAGUCCGGUACACAGUUUCCUUGUAUUCAACAGGAGGAACACACCAGGAGCAUCAUCAUCAACACCACCAUCAGGAUCCUCAUCAGAAGGACCAAGAAGGAUGCAGAAUCUUGAAGAGUUGUACGAUACCACUCAGGUCAUGGAAGAUACAACUCUGUUUUGUUUCUUUGCAGAUAGUGACCCACUAAACUUCGAUGAAGCUAUCACAGAUCAGAAGUGGAUAGAAGCAAUGGAUGAAGAAAUACAUGACAUUGAGAAGAAUGAUACCUGGAAGCUGACUUAUCUACCAGAACACAAGAAAGCAAUAGGUGUCAAAUGGGUCUACAAGACGAAGAAGAACGCUAAAGGAGAAGUGCAAAGAUACAAAGCCAGAUUAGUGGCUAAAGGCUACAAACAGAGAGAAGGCAUUGACUAUGGAGAAGUAUUUGCUCCAGUAACCCGGCUAGAGACAAUCAGACUGAUGAUCUCACUAAAUGCACAACAUAGAUGGAAGAUCUAUCAACUCGAUGUGAAGUCAGCAUUUUUGAAUGGCUUCCUAGAAGAAGAGAUCUAUGUUGAACAACCACUUGGAUAGAUUGAAGUUGAAGAAAGCUCUCUAUGGUUUGAAGCAAGCUCCGCGUGCUUGGAAUACCAGAAUUGACAGGUAUUUUCAAGAUAAUGGAUUUGAGAAAUGUCCAUAUGAACACGCCAUAUAUGUGAAGAAAGGAGCAGAUGGCAGCAUCUUAUUUGCGUGCCUGUAUGUUGAUGAUUUGAUAUUCACCGGCAACAACCCUACCAUGUUUGACGACUUCAAACAAAGCAUGGUACAGGAGUUUGAGAUGACUGACAUUGGUCUAAUGUCACAUUUUCUUGGCUUAGAAGUAACGCAGAAGGAAGAAGGGAUUUUUGUAUCCCAAAGCGGUUACGCCAAAGAUAUUCUUGAAAGGUUCAAGAUGGAAAGCUGCAAUCCGGUAUCAACUCCAGUUGAGAAUGGAGUGGAAUUGAGGAAGAGUAAGGUUGGAAAUGUUGAUCCAACUUACUUCAAAAGCUUAGUAGGAAGCUUAAGGUACUUGACAUGUACCAGACCGGAUAUACUCUACGGAGUCGGACUCGUCAGCAGAUACAUGGAGACACCAGACCAGUCUCACUUGAAUGCAGCCAAGAGAAUUCUUCGCUACAUCAAAGGCACAAUGAAUGAAGGUAUGUUUUACACCUCAAGUAAAGACUUUAAUCUUGUAGGCUACUUGGAUAGUGAUUGGGGUAGAGAUUUGGAUUAAAGGAAAAGCACAACAAGGUUUGUCUUUUUCAUGGGAGACACAUCUUUCACAUGGUCAUCCAAGAAGCAAUCGAUUGUAACGUUAUCAAGCUGUGAAGCUGAAUAUGUUGCUGCCAACUCAGCCGUAUGCCACUCAAUAUGGUUAAGGAAUAUGCUGAAGUUUUUGGGAUUUCCUCAAGAAAAUCCUACAGAGAUUUAUAUUGACAAUCGAUCAGCAAUCGCAUUGGCAAAGAACCCAGUGUAUCAUGAGAGGAGCAAACACAUUGAUACACGUCAUCACUUUAUCCGGGAACAUGUGAAGAAUGAAGAAGUCCAACUGAUAUCUUGCAACACAAAUGAUCAGGUUGCAACAUCUUCAUAAAGCCAUUGAAAGGAGAAGUAUUUAUCCGAUUAAAGUUCAUGCUUGGCAUGAUAUCUCUCGAUUGAGUUUAAAGGGGAGAUUUGUUGAAUAUUAAACUCAAUCCAGAAGGUCAAGGAAGGCAACCAGCCACCAGCCACCAGCCGCCACAGCCACCAGCCGCCUUCACACUUGAAGGUUGAAUUUUCUAGUUUUUGAUUUCGUGUAUAAAUAGAGUGCCCAGCUUCUGUUAAUGUGUGUGGAGAGAAUUGAGAGAAACACUAGAAAGAGAAUAGAGAGAGAGGGGGCGUGUAUUGUUAUUAAGCUUUUGUUAAUUAAUUGUAAGCUUGUGUUCUUGUAAUAAAACCUUGUGUUUUAUCCCCUCUAAGUCUUUCAAAGCCACCACCAAUGGUUUCUCCCACCAACAGAUAUCCCCCUUCGAUAUUGCACCAUUAAGGUGCAAGUCCAUUGGAUGUUGAUGGAUGUUAGUUUUCCACUAAAAAACAGAAUAGACUUGUGCCUUUUCAAGCAACAAGUACUACGAACUAAGAAGCACAAAUGAUUUACUGGAAAAAAAAAACUAUAAUAUGCAAAAGAAAUUUUAAUUGCUAUAAAUACAUUUUAAUUGCUAUAAUUAAAGGAAAAAAAGGAUGAAGAAGAGAAUCUGUAGUUACCUGGUAACCUGUGAAUCCCAUCCAGAUAUACUGGCUGCAUUUGCCAAGUCAGCCCUCCACCUCGGCACCUUGUCCAUCUUCCCCUUAAAAUUUUUUUCAAGCUCGGCAAAUGCAUUUCCAAAACUCCCAGUCUGUUCAUCAACAUCAGAUGGGUCUACAUGAUAGAAGACCGCUAAAACAAUCUGCUCAUAAGUCUCUUUGCAUUCAAGUAUUUUCACCAGUUCAUCCACACACCACGGAGAAUGUCGCACGUGUGCGGCGGCGCGGCGAUCGUCCACCCUCAAGGAAAAAUCGGAAUAAUUUAUUCCUGGAAAAAUGGGGAGAGACAAGGAAUUCUUGUCUCUACAAGUGAAAAUAUGGACUGGGAGUCGCCACCUAGUAUUCUGGUUACUAGGAACCUUAACUGGUCUUUAGAGAUCGGGUACGGAGACUGGUUGCGUAAAGGGAAGGUAUUAGCACCCCAACUACGCCCUACCUAAGGUAGGCUGCAUUGUUUUAAUGUCUGAUAAAAUCUAAGGUUGUGUUGUGGUUUUUUGUUGUUCGGAAUACGCAUUACAUGUAAUGUCAUACCCCAGGUUCUAUUGUCCAAAAAAAAAAAGAAUUAAAUAUCCAGAAUAUACAUUACGUGUAAUGUCAUACCCCGGAUACUAAGAGACAAACAAAAUAAAAUUUUUGUUGUUUUUGAAAGUUUGGCCAAUAUUCUCUUGACUUUAAUAAACUGGUUAUUAAAGCCAAAAUGCAUGCUAAAUAUUGUUUUUUUGACAUAUGAAAAAUACGAUAUGAUUUUUUAGAUUUGAGACACUUGGCCGUAUGCACAAAAAUGUUUUUUAAAUUUUUUUGUAUUUUUGGAAGUUUGUGACAAAAAACCGGAUAUUGUAAUACCCGAUUUGUAUUUUUACGACAUAAAAAUACUACCCGAUAUUAAUAAAAAUAACAUAAAUAAAAAAUGGAAACAUCAUAAAUAUUUUUUUAAUGGGCCGUAUCAGGCCCAAUUGCAUGGGUUGGGCCACACCUGGCCCAUUUACAUGGGCUGGGCCGAACAUGGCCCAAAUGCAUGGGCUGGUUACUGUGCACAUAGUAACCGGGGUUACUGUGUGCACAGUAACCAGAGAAUUAAUUAGCGUGCAUAGUAACGGGGUUACUGUGUACACAGUAACCCGUGAAUUAAUUAGCAAGUUACUGUCCACAGCACAGUAACUUGCUAAUUAAUCUUCAUCUGCAUGCAGAACGUUUAAGCUUAGCAAAAAAAAAUGACAGUGGAGAAAGUUACCUGGAACGGUGUUGAUGCUGGCAGCAGCUGAUGCGGCAGGGGUGGUGGUGGCGGUGCUGGCGGUUCGCGGUGGCCGGCGGUUUUCCUUCUCUCUCUCUCUCCUCUGUAUUUUUCUGUUUUCUCCUCUGCUGCUCCUUCUUCUUUUUCUGUGUUCUCCCUUCUCUCUCUUUUCCCCUCUCUUUGCUCUCCCUUUUCUUCUCUUCCCCCUCUCUCGAGUCUUUUUUUCUGUGUUUUUUUUUCCCUCGGUCCUCCCCUGUUUUUAUAGGCAAAAACAGGGGAGACGUCAUGGUGGUGGCCGCCGCCCCUCCACUAUCGAUCCAUGGAUAAAAAGGAGGAGGCAAGUGGGCGGGCGUCUUAUUGCGCCAAAUCCGGGUGAAAGAAGUUAGGCAAAAAGGGAGAAGAAAAAUCUUCUUCUUCCCCUGCCUCGCGCGUCCAGGAGUAGAAGAAGAGCUACAGUGCCGUCAAAACGGCACCGUUUUGGGCUUCUUUUUUUUUUUUUUUUUUUUUUUGCAACAGUGAAUGAAAACGGCGUCGUUUCAUUUAAAUGGAUUUGGCGCCAAAACACGUCAGAUUCAAAUUUCAGCCCUCCAUUUGCGCGCGUUUUACAAUUUAGUCCUUGGUCUCGAAUUUCUUCAAUUCAGUCCCUAAUUGGCCAUUAAACCUCAAUAUUUAUGCAAUUAAGCCCUUGAUUUGACCAAAUUAACUUCCAAAAAUUAUAAUUUGACCCUAGAAAAUUAAUUUCUCCUAAUUAAAGCCCAAAUUAACUCCAAAAUCAAUUUUUCUUGCAAUUAAAAUCUUCAUAAAUGCAAUUAAACCUUUAAUAAAAUUUCAUUGAGUCCAUAAACUUCUAAUUUUGCAUUUUUCUUCCACAAAUUGAAUUUUCUAUAUCAUCGGGGCUCUCAUCAGUCAAUGAUAUACUGUCAAAAAUUAAUUUUUGAUUUUUGAACAUCCUCAAUCAAUUUUUGAGCAUUUUUAGGGUGCUCUGGCAUUUUUUCACUGUUAUAUUUUUUGAUAAUAUAUUUUUUUAAUUUUUUUGAAUUUUAUUAUUUUUUAUGUGGGGACCUAAAAAUGGGUUACAACAGAAAAGAUGCAUAGUUCUUGGAGAAAAUUACUACAGAAGUUCUUGAUUCUUCAAUCGUUUUCAGAAGGGCAGGGUAAUUUCUCCUCCUCUUUCAAGCCUAUCAUCAAUGUGUUGAAUCUAAACUCAAUCUAGAAGGUCAAGGAAGGCAACCACUGCCCAGCCAGCCACCAGCUGCCACCAACCGACCAGCCACCAACCGCAGCCGCCAGCCGCCAGCUGCCACAGCCGCCAGCCGCCUUCACACCUAGAAAGUUGAAUUUUUUUAUUCUGAUUUCGUGUAUAAAUAGAGUGCCCAGCUUGUGUUUAUUUGAGUGGAGAGAAUUGAGAGGAACACUAGAAAGAGAAAGAGAGAGAGAGAGGGCGUGUUUAAGCUUUUGUGUUAAGAAAUUGUAAGUUUCGGAUUUUUGUAAUAAAACAGUGUGUUUUAUCCCCUCUGAGUGUUUUAAAGCCACCACCAGUGGUUUCUCCCACCAACAAUUGGUAUCAGAGCCCCGUUUGUCGGAAAACAAAAGAGUUUUGGGGUAUAUCCGAAUUUUCAAAGUUGUCAAAAACAAGUUUUGAUCAUUCCACAGCGUAGAGCUCCUCAAGACGAGCUCACUGGUGCAAGAAUCAGCUUCAUCGGAGACUGAAGUCGACCACACGCGCCGUCUGAAUAUCCGGUGACAGUCGCCCACGCGCAGCCACGCGCUCCAGAGGUUUAAGACGACUGAGCCACACGCGCGCCAUAUUUGAGCCGCUCCAAGCCGUUUACGCCGAGUCCUAGCCGAGCCGAAAGCUGAGUCCAGCCGAGCCACAAGUCGUGCCGUACUCCGCGCUGAGCCGCGCCGCUUUCCAGUUGCAGCCGAGCUCGCAGAAUAUUCCCGGUUCAACCCAGCGAACCGCCCGCCGUACAGAAUUGGUUUGUUGACCGGUUCAUCCAUUUUCUGACCCGAUUUCAACAAAGUCAAGGACUAUUUGGACCAUUCGGAUCGAUCUAUAGUGUCCGUUUGGCCAAAACAGCAGAAGGUGAUAUAGUCAUUCAAGAGAAAAAUGACUACAGAAGGUACACAUACACUCAUCCCGAAGCUGACCAAAUGAUAGUUGGUGCAUCAGAUUGAAGGCAUUCCUUCGGUCACAAGAGUGUUUGGAUAUUGUACAAACUAGUUAUGAUGAACCAGAGACCAAAGAAGCAGAAGAUGUUUUACAAGAGGCACAGAAGCAAGCCUUGAAAGUCAACAGAAAGAAGGACAACAAAGCAAAGACAGAUAUGAGCAAGGGGAGACUUCAUCAAGUGGAUAUACCACUCAAGCAGGAAGUCAACAAUCCAGAGGAGGAUUCCAGAGAUUCCAAGGAAGAGGUUCUUGGAAUACAAGCUUCAGAGGAAAAGGUGGUAGAAGCACCACCAGAAGAGGCCGAGGCCAACAUCCAUUCACUCCUAGAGGAAGAGGAGGCGGUUACAAUAACUGUGACAAGAGGAAUAUCCAAUGUUAUAGUUGUAAUCAAUUUGGGCACUAUAGCACUGAUUGUAGAUGGAAAGCUCUGUUGGAGAUACGUGAGCAAGCCAACUUUGUAGAGAAGGAUGAUAGAGAAGCAUCUGUAUUUCUUGUCCAACAAGAACUUGGCGAGAAACAGGAGAAUAUAUGGUAUCUAGAUACUAGAGCCAGCAAUCACAUGUGCGGUUACCGAGAGUUAUUUAGUGAUCUAGAUGAGACCAAGCAAGGUCUAGUUACUUUUGGAGAUACCACAAAGGUUUCAUUCAAAGGUAAAGGCAGCAUCCCAGUCAAGUUAAAGAAUGGCGAUUCCAGCUACAUUGCCAAUGUCUAUUAUGUCCCAGCCAUAAAGCAAAACCUGAUCAGCUUAGGUCAACUUUUGGAGAGAGGAUAUACUUUUUACUCGAAGAAUUGUCAUCUGACAAUUAGAGACAACAAUGGGAGAUUAAUGGCCUACGUGAAAAUGUCCAAGAAUAGGAUGUUUCCUUUGAACAUCCAGUAUGAUGCAACAAGGUGUUUGAGUGCCAUCACCAACAGUGAAGAAUGGCUUUGGCACCUGAGGCUUGGACAUCUGAAUUUCACAAGUCUGAAGAUGCUAGCAAGCAAGAAGAUGGUCAAAGGUUUGCCUCACAUUGAUCAUCCAGAUGAAGUCUGUGAGAGUUGUGUCCUCAGCAAACAUCACAGAUCCAGUUUUGCCAAAGAAGUCAACUGGAGAGCAAAGAGGCCACUGGAGUUAGUACACACAGAUGUGUGUGGCCCAAUUACGCCUAUGUCGACUGGACAAAAUAGGUACUUCCUCACUUUUACUGAUGAUUUUAGUAGAAAGACGUGGAUAUACUUUCUGAAGAGGAAGUCAGAAGUAUUCAAUUGUUUUAAAGAUUUUAAAGCAAUUGUGGAGAAGCAAACUGGCUACACGAUCAGAACCGUGAGAUCUGAUCAAGGUGGAGAAUAUACAGCAAAUGACUUUGAAGCCUAUUGUACACAACAAGGCAUCAGACAUCAGACAACACCAGCUUAUACACCACAGCUGAAUGGUAGCAGAAAGGAAGAAUCGCACGAUUCUUGACAUGGCAGAAGUCUGCUCAAAGCAAAGAAGUUGCCCAAGCAAUACUGGGCUGAAGCUGUAUCAUGUGCAGUGUAUCUACUUGAAUCGCUGCCCAACCAGAAGUUUGCAAGGAGUCAUCCAGAAGAAGCAUGGAGUGGUCACAAACCAAGUGUUACUCAUCUACGAGUCUUUGGUUGUGUGGCAUAUGCAAAGAUCCCAGAUGCAAGAAGGAGAAAGCUCGAUGAUAAAAGCGAGCAAUGCAUCUUUGUCGGAUACGGUGAAAGAAGGAUGGGAUACAGGCUGUAUAAUCCCAUCACGAAGAAGGUGAUUACGAGUAGAGAUGUUAUCUUUGAAGAAGAUAAAUAUUGGGAAUGGAAUGGUGAUCAAGAAGCAGUCAAAUGGAUCAAUCUUGAUUUGAUCCUUGAAGGUGAAGAAGUACCAACAGUACUUGUCGAAAAACCGAUUGUGCCAGCAGCUGAACCACAAAGUCCAGUGUUUAUACCAGCAGCUGAACCACAAAGUCCGGUACACCACCAUCAGCAUCCUCAUCAGAAGGACCAAGAAAGAUGCGGAAUCUAGAAGAGUUGUACGAUACCACUCAGGUUAUGGAAGAUACAACUCUGUUUUGUUUUCAUGCAGAUAGUGACCCAUUAAGCUUCAAUAAAGCUGUCACAGAAAAGAAAUGGAUUAAAGCAAUGGAUGAAGAAAUACAUGCCAUUGAGAAGAAUGAUACCUGAAGCUGACUUAUCCACCAGAAAAGAAGAAAGCAAUAGGUGUCAAAAGGGUCUACAAGACGAAAGCCAAAUUAGUGGAUAAAGGCUACAAGCAGAGAGAAGGCAUUGAAAGGAGAAGUGUUCAUGCUUGGCAUGACAUCCCUCGAUUGAGUUUAAAGGGGAGAUUUGUUGAAUAAACUCAAUCUAGAAGGUCAAGGAAGGCAACCACCACCAGCCACCACCAGCUGCCACCCGACCAGCCACCAGCCGCAGCAGCCAGCCGCCAGCUGCCACAGCCGCCAGCCGCCUUCACACUUGAAAGUUGAAUUUUUUUUUUGAUUUCGUGUAUAAAUAGAGUGCCCAGCUUGUGUUAUUUGGUGGAGAGAAUUGAGAGGAACACUAGAAAGAGAAAGAGAGAGAGAGAGGCGUGUUUAAGCUUUUGUGUUAAGUUAAUUGUAAGCUUCGGAUUUUUGUAAUAAAACAGUGUGUUUUAUCCCCUCUGAGUGUUUCAAAGCCACCACCAGUGGUUUCUCCCACCAACACAAUGAAGGUCUUGAUUUUCUUACGACACAAAGCAUCAUAGAGAUGGCUGGUAAAAUUAUUGCGCGUAUCCUUGCCCCUAAAACUAAGGAACACAUCAUACUUCCUUUUAUGAGCAACAGCAGAUGAAGAUGCCAUAUCAGACAGUUACAAGAUCGUGUCUUCCUCAAUCACUAAGAAUCGAAAUCAACAAGUGCUCUCCUUUUUCUCCUAAAGACAUACAAGAGCAGCCACUUCAACAGUUGAACAUUUAUUAAGAGAAAUUGAAGUCUAAGAGUACAAGAACCCACACAACAUAUAUUUGUCUGAAAAUUCCUCAAACUCUGAACGAUGGAUACAUACUAGCUUAAUUUGAUAUGAUCUAUCUUAAUUUGAUCACUCGUCACUUGCUACCAAUGCUAGCUUGCUAUUACUUUCAUUGCAAGAACAGUCACUAGCUGAGCAAUAAGAAUUACAGAUGGAAGAAUUAAUACGUUCAUAAAACAUACUUAUCUAACUCGUAUAUAUAAUCUUAAAUAUAGAAGACGCAUGAACCAGAAAGACUUACCAACAGAUCAUAAGAACAGUUGACUUGUGUUUUCCAUCAGCAAACAAGACGAAGAAGAAGCUGCAUAUCGUUGAUGAUAACAGACGAUUUUUCUUGUCUAUUGCCUUCUCCUUCUCCUUCAAGUAAAUUCUUACAGACAAUCUGAGCUUCUCGUUAUCUAAAUGAAAGAUGGUUUUUGAUCAAGAAACAGGUGAAUGUGAGAAGACUUUGGGGUCAUUAGACUCAAUACCAAAUUCAUUGGCCAAUGAACUUGUCAAUGGCAACGGUACCCCUCAUGGCCAAUGAUUUAUUUUUUUCUUUUUUCUUUUUUAGUGCCUAAUGGAUGGGCUUCCUAAAGUAAUUUGUUUGGGUCUUCCAAACCAAAAUCUUAACCCAUUUCGAACAAAGAGUCUUGGAAACAAAAUUCCAUUUAUUAUUAUUAUUAUUCAUAAAACAUUAUUAAUUUACCUAUGAUUUCCAUGGUAUUAUUGACACUUUAUUUUCUUAAAGCUAUUUAUUGGAUUAUAAUUUAACAUAAUGUUGAAGAUGUCUUUCAUUUAAAUAGGGACAAAAGCAUACACAUCAUAACUAAUUCUUAUCAGAUUUAUAGCAAAUAUAGAAAAUAAGCAUUAUGUUGGAAAUAUGUAUUGAGUCAUUUGUUUUUAGCUUGCAUUUAUUUAAAAAAAAAUAUUCUCGAACUAAAAAAUAUUUUUUCCUUCUCUAUAAAAAUAAAUAUUUUCUCUAUCAAAAUUAUCAUGUAAAUUACAUGAUAAGACAAUAAUUUUAAGGUUUAAUAAGUAAAAAAUAUCUAGCAUGAUUACUUCUUGAAAUACUUUUUUUUUUUUUAAAGUUAACUAGAUAUGUGCUCCAUGUGUAAUUCGUAUUAUUUUUAUAUUUAGAUUAACGAAGUACUAAUGUAAAAUACUAUUAAAAAUAUAUACCAACUUUACAAAAAUAUAUAUUUUACAAUUGAUGAUAAAAUAAUGUUCAUUUCAGCUGUUAAUUCCACUAAAUAACAUGUAUCACCUAGUUUUAUAAUUUAAGUUAAUUAUUAUUUUUCUAUGAAAAAAAGUAAUUGAUCUUUUAACAUUGCUUUGUUUUGUGAUUAAUCUUGAUUAUUUAUUUUUCAUGCAUAUGCAUGAGAUUCUUGAUAUGUCACGGAAAUAUUUAAUCUCUUAGGUAAUCUUAGUUAAUGCUUGGUUUGAGAAAGCAAAAUUUUAUUUUAUUGAUUUCAAACAAUUACAACUUAAAUAACCAAAUUUGAAGAUUAAAGAAAUGUUUAUUUAAUUUUUUCAAAAUUAGAGAUUGAUUUGUAUGGUUAGGAGGGAGUUCAUGUACUAUUUUUAUUUUGGUCCCUUAACUGUUUAAUCUCUUAGUUAAUGCUCGGUUUGGAAAAGUAAAUUUUAAUUUUAUUGAUUUCAAAUAAUUAUAACUUAAAUAAUCAAAUUUGAAGAUUAAAGAAAUAUUUAGUUUUAUUGGGUCAAAAUUAGGGAUUGAUUUGUAUGGUUAUGAGGAAGUUUAUGUCCUGUGUUUUUUUUUUAUCCCUUAACUUGUUUUUUUUUUAUUUGAUCCCUUCAUAUUGAUUUUAUUUGGGAUGGAAUUGGUAGUUUGUUUUGAAUGCCUUGAAAUAGAGAUCUUACAAUAUUGAAAAACAAUUAUGGGGCUUAGUUGAUACUUGAUUUUGAUGAGUAAUACAAAUUUCAGCUAAUAUAGAACUACUAAAAUUUAGGAACUAAAAUUAAAAAUAAAACAAAUAUAAAAACUUAGUAAACAAAUAGGAUAAAUAGGUUGUGGCACGUACCAAUGUUUGAAAGAUAUCUAUUAUGUCUAUUUAUGUUUUUUGCAUGAACAUACUAGAGAAAUUUCUCAUUUUUUAUUUUUGUGACUUUGGGCAUUUAUCAUAGGAUGAUAUAGAAGAGAAAAGAAGAGUUACGGUAACUAAUUGUGGAAUUCCAGAGGUAAAGUCAUCAUCUUUUCCCAAUAGGGUUCAGUUAGGAGCCUCAAGCAAAACAAGUAGCAAAGAGUAAAGCUUUAUGGGAUGAGGAUUGGGGACCUGUUUCAAAAGUAUCUUUCACUGCAUAUCGGCCUUCAGCAAGUAACUCAUCACCCACUCCAUCUAUUUCAGCCAAUCAACAAAGUCAGUUAGCAUUUUUGCCAUAGAAUCUUCCAUGACAUCUGCAGUAUCCAAUACGCAGUAAGCCAUAUCAUGGCCUCCAGUUGAUAUAGAAUGGCCUCCAAGGACAUCUUCAACUAUUAUUCCUCGGCUAGAUGAUGAGGGAGAGGAGGGGGGAUGACCUGGAGUUAUAGGUCCAACAUUAGGUGAAGCCAUUGGCAAAGCCUUGCUGGCUAUUUAUAUAUAUAAAAAAAAGUUGUAAGGCCCUCUUUGUAUACUGUGAAAGUUCAAUAUUUCCCUUCUGUUGUUCUUUGCUUUUCUCUCUUGUAAAUGGCUAAUUAAAUUUUGCUUCGAGUAGGUAGCGCAUAAUUAUUUUUGUUUUUGCUAAGAAUAAAGCAACUGAAAUGCAACAUUUCAUUCAUUCAAGCUUUGACAUGAAAAAAUAUGAACAUGAAUGAUCCAUAUCUUCCAACACCUUCCAUCUACUUGACUACCCCUACAUAUCUAUCUUGUGCACCUAUAAUUGUUCUACUAAUCCUUCUCUCACUAGCCUUAGUGAAAUUAUUGACUAAUUAGUGCAUUCCUGACUUAAAUCUCUAUUGCUUGAAGUUCGUCUUCUCAAUGUGUUCAAAAGUCGUCAUCUUAUUAGAUUGUUGAGCAAUGACACUGCUUGUUCAUGGGUUUUGAGAUGAAACAAUCUCGUAUCCAUCAUAAUAUAAGUCCAUUCCUUCAGCCAAGAUUUGCCAAACCAAGCCACCACCAAUUGUCCCUCUAGUUCUUGCAAAGAUGUAGAUGAUUGUAUAGACUGUAUUCAAGAAAGAAUCCCUCACACUUGUACUGUAUCCUGGAUCUUUAUUUGAUUACCCGAAUUCAGCAAAAACCAAUGGCUUCUUUAAUAUGGUUUUUGAGUCUGUCCAAUGACUAGAUAUCCACAUUUGCAUGAAUUCCAUUUGUGCAUUAUCAUUCUGUCCAGAUACCCUGUAAAUUUGACAGAACAGUACCAUGUUAAUUAUCUUUGCAACAUGUCUUUUUAAGCUUGGUGAAUAAAAACAUCAUGAUUAAUUGAUUAUUAUUUCCUUUCGUGCUUACCAUAUGUCAGGGUAUGCAUGUAUUAUAGCAAAAUCACUAUCCCUAACGAGAUGAUUGCUAAUAAACUCUGUGUCAAUAGAUUUAACAUAAGGUGCCAGCUCUUGAACCCAUCCCUGUCAGAUUUAAAGACAAUCAUUAAUUAAUAGAUGAUAUUAUAAUUAACCUAAUAACUACCACAAAAAUAAUCAAUUACUCAUGGUUGUUGUUUCUUACAUUUAUAGGCUUUCCAGAGUAGUCAACCUGGCAGCGAGGUUCGUACAUCAAUUCCCAUGCAAUGAUGGUUGGCUCAUCCAUAUAAGCAACUCCAGUGAUCGUGGUGAUCCUUGUUAACACUCUAUCUGUUGAAAAAAUAAAGAAAGAAAAGAAACAUUAUUCAUCUCUAAUCAUAACAUUACAGAAGGGAAAUUUGUCAUAUUUGAUUUGGUGCUCAAAAUAUGUAACUUGACAUGGUUCUUGUGAUAGCCCUUCACAACAACGUUUGUAUAAAUAAAAAUCAUCAUCGUUGUUUACUGGCACUCCUGCGGCUCUAACCCAAUUCACGUAUUACGGUCUCCCUCCAAAGUCAUGGUAAUUAUUGCUUAAUGUCAAGAUUGAGCGAAUUAUGUACUUUCUUGCCUCAGAAAUCAUAAAAUCAAGUCCCUGAGAAUUAUAAACAGUAUUUAGCAUUGCUUAGAUUUUUCUUAGUUGGGGAACAAGUUAAAACACAAUUUUGGAGACAUAAAUAUACAAGCAUAUACCUGAAAGACAUGCUCACUACAAACCCCAGGAGAAAUCUGCAGAGCUUGAUAACCUUCAUCACUAAAUGUCCAUGUUCGACAGACAGUAAGACCUGUGUCAGCAGCCGUGCGAAAUACAUUAGAUAUUUUGUACCUUUGACUUGGCUGUGCUGCAACAUUCAUCAUCUAGUAGGAGUUGAACCCAUUAAAAAGGAAUGGAGAGCCACUUAGGACAAAUUAGGUGUUUGUAAUUUGAAUGAAUCCAGACGUAGGAAGCCCAUCUUUAUAAGUAACAAAGGCUAAAAACAAUAUAAUAGUACCAAAAAAAGCAAAGCUUACAUCCCUAAAGCUUGCCAUCUUGCUUGAAAUUUAUGUUUUAAUUUGCCUUUGGUUGAUUCGUACUUGAAAGGAUGGAUGUGAGGACAAGUUAGGGAGAUGUGGUGCCUGUUUAUAGAAGUGAAGGGUGAUGAGCAUAUAGAGGUUCUUAAUUUAAUAUAUAUGAAAUGUUUAAGAGAAUGAAAAACUAUUUAUUUACAUUUUAGGAAAAGAUAAACAUACAGAAAAUUAAAUUUGGAUAAUGUUAUUUAAAGGGAACAUGGAAUUGGUGAGGAAUUUAUAAGAUGUAACAGAAAUUGUUGAGUAUCAUCCUUAAAAUGAUGAUGGCUAAGUAUGGCUAAUCUAAGAAUUAGGAAAUGAUCAAAUAUAAAUUAUUACCAGCCUUAUUCAUUGUAGUUCUCAUAAUCAAAUAUUUUGACUCUUCACAAGAACAUCUUCCACUCUAUAGACAAUAAAGCAGUUUGAAUGGCGUUAAGGAAAAAAAUAACAUUAUUAUUUUAUUUUAUUAAUUGAUGUUGGGCUUACAAUGUUUAUGAAUUGUUUAAUUCAAUAGUAAUUAUAUUGAUUAGAUAUAUUAAAAUUCCUUAUUUAAUAAGUGCAAGUAGGGAUGAUAAUUUAAUAUGGGCUCAAUGGAUAUUGACCCAAAUUGACCCAAAUAUAUGGUUAUUUUUUAUUUGAUGGAUAAUAGGUAGAGUAUGAAUAUUGUCAAACAUGACCUGAAAUCCCAAAAUAUAUAUUUAUAUUAUAUAAAUAUAUAUAAUUUUAUUUUUUAUUAAUUGACAUGCAAUUUUCAAAGGGUCUUUUAGAGACGAAGCUUUAUCCUUUUAGUUUGGUGAAAUAGCAUUCCCAAAGUCUAUGUAAGAAUUAACCUCCUUAUCAACUUGGCUACAAACACCAAUUUGAUAAAAAAAAAAAUUUACAAAUCUGUUGCAGAAAUGAAAAAAAUUCUAUCAACCAAAAUUUGAUAUUUUUUUUUUGAAAAGAUAAAAUAAAAUUAAAAUAAAUGACAUGAUAAAAAAAUAAAUAGACCUUUAUAUAUUUCUGAGUCAAUGAAAGGUUGACAAGUGGGAUAAGAUAUUUAAGAUAUCUUAUCAUAUAUAUAUAUAUAAGAUUUUAUAAAUAAAAAUCAACAAAUGAAAUAAUAUCAUGUGGCAUUGAAAAAGAACUUGAGAGCCCCUACAAAACUCAAAAUAAAGGGCUUUACCCUAGAAAAAAAAAAGAUUUUUUGGAGAUACAAAUUUCUUUUCAAAACAAACUCUUCAAGCAAGAGAACUCUCUCAAAAGCUCUCAACAAACGAAACUAUGUUGAAUCAAGCAUAAAUGCCCCAUAAGAGUUUUUUAACAACACUUUGAAAACAAAUUAAAGAUACUCUUGAAAGCAUCAAAUCAUCAAAUAUUAUUCUUCAAUACAUAUCUAAAUUUAGGUUCUUGCACGACAUAAAUCUUGGCUUGAUUUCACAAAUAAAUCAAAUCACCAUAUACCAAAUUCAAGGGAAGGAUAAAAGAAUUGUUUACUCUUUUGCAAGAAUAUUUAAAAUAGAGAUUGUACCUAGUCAUAUAUUUAAUAAAAUCAAAUAUUUAUACACAUGUGCUUAUCAAAUUUCAGGUGCUCAAAAUUGUGUUUAUAAAUUUCUAGCAUAAAAUCAAACAUCUAUACCUCUCGUGUCUUCCUUUCAGAAAGAAUUUCCAACAACCUCUCAAUGACAACUAGGAAGAGCAUGAUCAUCGUUGUCGCUUAAAAAAAAAAUACAAGGCUAUUGAUUCAAGUCACCGAUAUACCGUUGAAGAUUCUUCAACCUGUCAUUGAAUACAAAAUUCAUCGCAGAAUUGUAUUUGCAAACUAAGCCAAUUAUUGAGCUAAUGUCAGCAUCAAAUGCAAAGGAGGCAUGAGAGUUUGCUCCAAAACUGAAGCUACAAGUACCUCCACCAUAAAAGUCAAGUAGGGUCCGUAGGCUUUUCUUCGGCACUUAAGGUGAGUACUCUGAAAAUUCACCUAUAGAGACUUCUUCAUGUCAAUCACCAAGUAAGGUUUUGGGUUUUAGCAUCAUAUUAGUGAUGAUGAUCGAGACUGCAUCUUUGGAGAAUCAAGUGGCUAACUUGUCAAAAAUCUUCGAAGGGCUUUCAAGUUCACUCAAGGCAAAAGAGCACUAGAUAACAAAGUUGAUAAACAAACUCGAGAGCAUGAACGAGGGAGGCCAAACUGCAACUAUAAAGGAUUUGCAAGUAGAUCAAUUAGAUGUCAUUGAGGAUUCUAUAAUUGGAGCCACAAGGAAUAUCCACGGUAUUAUCGAUGGCAUCUUCACCACGAAUUAACUGAAAGAACUUAUCAAAAAAAGUCAUAACGGACAAAAUAGAAAGAUCAAUUCAACCUUCAUAUUCUUAUGUGAAGCUGUACAAAGAAAGGAUUAACCUGCUAAGGAUGCCUUUGAGCUAUCAACCAUCAAAGUCUCAAUAAUAUAAUGGAAAAGAGAAUCCAAGGCAACAUGUAGCUCACUUUGUGGAGACUUGCAACAAUGUCAAAACCGAUGGUGAUCUCAUGGUAAAACAGUUUGUCUAUUCGUUAAAAGGUAAUGCCUUCGACUAGUACACUAACUUGAAGUCUGGCUCAAUUGAUAGUUGGGAGCAAUUGGAAUGCGAGUUUCUUAACCGCUUCUACAACACUCAUCGUGUGGUCAGUAAGAUUGAACUCACCAAUGCACGUCAAUACAAGGAGAAGCAUGUCAUUGAUUAUAUUCAUUGGUGGAGAAACCUUAGCCUCGAUUGUAAGGAUCGACUCAUCGAAACUUAUGCGCUAAAUAUGUGUAUUCAAGGGAUACCCCGAGCACACAACUCUCCAGUCCACUUUGGCCAACCUAAUCAGACUCAUUAAAGUUACCGCCUCGACUUGGUAUCAUGCAAAUUCCUUGCACUAGCCCACAUCACAAUGUAUUAUUACGAACUCCAAAAAGUCAUCAUGGCAUCACACACCACCUACUAGUGCUACACGAUGCUCAUCUAAUUCUCUAUUAUGGUGCCCGACCUCUUGUAAUAGUAGAAAAAUAUUAUUCUACUUCCCGUGCCAUCACUUCUAAUUAAUAUAAGCAGGAGGUGCUUGUUCAUAUUUAAUAGGAUGUGAUGGGUAUCAUAAUUACUAACACAGACCUAGAGUAUGGGAGCUUAGUGUAGAGUGACAUGUUAGUUAUGCACCCAAUCUAAGGGAUGUUGGGCUCAAUCCACGCCCAAAGCGCAGGAGAAAAAGGGGCGCAGACGUAUCCAGAUCCACUGUGAAGCUGGGCGUGGACACGACUAGGUCCAAAGUGGGGUUGGGCGUGGUCGCGCCCGAGCCCAAUUGUGGGACCGGGCGUGGAUGCGUCCGUGCCCAACAUAGAUUUGGACGUGGACGCGCCCGGGCCCGAUCAUGGGACUGAACGGGGACGUGUCCAGGCCCAACAUAGAGUUGGGGGUGGGUGUACCCCAACCCAACUUGGGGUUGGACACCCGAAAAGACAUAGCUCCAUUUUGGGUUAUGAUUUUCAUGCAUUAUCUCUUAAAUAAGGUUGAGUUGAGAAACUAUGACCCAUCAAUAUCCAAAAUCAUAAGAUUCUAAAAGACACAAAAAAAUCAAAAUCUGUCCUCAUAACUUCUCAUAAGUUACUAGGGAUUAAAAAUAAAAAAAGGAGGAGAAAACAAGUCAACUACAAAGAGAAUAUUUUGUUUUAGUCUGUGCUCGUGGAGAUGGAGAGAAGAAAUCAUGGAGGGAAAAAUGGUUUUCUAUGUAUACUAGAUUGAUAUAUUGUUCCCUUUGUAUGGGUUAUAUUAUAUAAAGGAUAUUUUUAUCUUUUAAUCAAAAUUUAAAUCUUGAAGUAUAAUUUCUAAAGCUAUAGAGAGAGAUAUUAAAAUCGUUUUCAAACCUUGGUAGAUGAGUAAUUUUUCUAUUAUAAAUUGUGUACGGCUAACAGGUGAUUUUAGUACACUUGCUAAGUCCCAUUUAACAUUCCAAAUUAAUUCAUGUGUUUAACGUUUUGUUUAUAAUUUAUUAUAGACACUUAAAAACAUCACCAUAUAAACUAUUUAACAUAUUUAAUUAAUUUAAUUGAUUUUUAUUUGAAUAUUUGUUUUUUAAUUAUUAUUUUUACCACAAUUCAAUAAUAAAUAAAAUCUAAGAAAUACAUUAUUCAAAUAAUGGUUUACUAUUCAUAUAAAUAUAAAUAGUAAAGAAUCUUAAUACAUAUUUUUAAUUAGUUUAUAAUAAUUUUCUUGUUGUUAUGUGGCAGAGGCACACGUGAUAUGAUGCAGGUUGCAGCUCGAGAGUGGAUGGCAACACUUAAUUUUUUAUUUUUUACAAACAACAGGUAGUCCGUAACUUUCUUUUUUUUUUUAAGGACGAAUAACAUUCAAAUUCAUCUAAACAGGAGACCUUAUGGUCUCUUUAAGCAAUGGAGCAAUACUUCACUAUGAAAAUAAAAUUAUGUUCAAAUAAUACAAUGAAAAAAAAAAGAAAAAGGAAAAGUGUUUUUUUCUCAGAUCUGAAUCCAUGUCGUGAAAAACAUGUUGGGAAUGGUUUCCCAGAUUUUCUCCUGCUAUAUCUAUCUAUCAAUUGAUUUGAUGAUAAAGUUUUCAUGUUUACCUUCAACCAGUAUGGCAAGAUAAAAUCACAAUAGUUCUCCGCUUGGCUGUAUAGCUGGCGGACCCCACACUUUCUCACAUGACAAUAAUGCAAGGAGUUGUUGUCCAUAUCUUCCACGGAGAAUUCAACUGAGACUUCACUGAAAUUACCAUACCAAAAAUCUUUUGUAGCAUUCAAACAAGGAUCAUAUCCAAGAAAUAGGUGAUCUGACUGGAUAGAUCGUUUGUGCAAUGAGCCAUAGCAACUGGCAAAGUAGCAAUGGAGAACGCAGGGAUCAGCAUGGUCAUUCUUGAAAUGGUAAGUACAUUUAACUUGGAAUCCACCAGAGUCGUCAUAAGAUGGUUCGAAUGCAACAACAGUGCACAGCAUGAAACCCAAUAACUCACUACUAGCGCAAUGUGAAGGCAGCUUAAUUGUCACAGAAGCUGCUGAAUUCUGCUGCACAAACCACGCUGGAACUUUACAUCCAGGGAAGCAAAAACUAGAUACCCCAGCAGCUACUGAUGAAAUCUGCAUCAUGAAAAACAUGCUCAACUCUACCUCCAAUAAAAAACGAGAGAAGAGAUUAUAAUACGGGAUUGUACGGGGAUUGCACGUGCGUGCGUGCGAGCGUGCGUGCGUGCGUGUGUGAGAGAGAGAGAGAGACCUCAUUGUAAAGUCUUUUGGCAUAUAGCUGAAUUUUCAAGAGAGCAUAUGCCAUGAUAUUGUUGCGUGCAGUCUCAUCCAACAUGAGACAAUUAGUAAAGAUGAAUUCAAAAAUGUUUCCAUCAACUAUAGUUGAUGAGCUUGGGACUGUUCUCAGAGAUGUGCAGCUGUGUGCAUCUAGUUCUGCAAGCCGUGGGGGAAGUUUUUGUAAGGACCCAAGCCUCCUGCAAUAGCGUAAGCCAAGAUAUUGGUGACAUUUGAGCAGCCAGAGACAUCAACAAUAACAAUAGACUUCAACAAACAAAUACUGUCUGGAAGAUUCCCAAGUUGUUUACAGUCCCUCAAAUUCAAAGCAACGAGUCUACUCAGAUGUCCAAUAGAUUGGGGAAGUUCUUUGAUUGCAGUCUCAUUGAAAUUCAAAUACAUCACAUGCUCUGUAGUCUCUGGGUACAUCUUGAGAUUUGAGCAGCCAGAGAGGUCAAGAGCCUUGAGAUAUUUCGAUUUAAUAAUUCUUGGAAAACUCAAAAGGCUUGUGCAGCUUCUCAGAUCCAAAUCAACAAGCUUCUCUAGAAAUUGAAGAGAUGAGGGAACCACUUUCAGAGUUGUACAAAAUUGAAGAUUCAAUCUCUCAAGAUUUUUAGCCUUUGAUAGGUCUGGAAUUGUAGUUAGAUGCUCACAAUUACUAAGGUUGACCUCUGUUAAAUUCACAAGAUUCUGCACCCUCAUAGCAUUGAUAAAUAUAUAUAUAUAUAGUAUCAGUACAUUUUAAAAUUCAUUUGAAGGAGGAGAAAAAUUACAUGUGUAGUGACUAAACCAUACCUGGUCCCCCUUCCAAAGUCCUCGAACCUUGCUGUGUGAUAGAUUAAGUUCAACAAGGUUCUCCGGAUGAAAAUUGGAUGGCAAAGAUUUCAGAGGGUAUCCAUCCCAAUGGAGAUACCUCAACUCAUCAGAAAGUGAUUUGAGACCAUGAGGAAGGUACACUUUACAGUUUUUUCCAACUUCAUAAUUAUAAAUUAUGAGCAAUCUAAGAUUAUACUGUAGACACAAUUUUGUGCACCUGAAAUUAAACAAGCACAUGUGUACAAAUAUAUGAUUUUAUUAAAUAUAUGAAUGGGUACAAUCUCUAUGUAAUAUACUCUUUCAAAAGAAUAUAGCAAUCCUCUAAUUCUUCCCUUGGAUUUGAUAUAUGGUGACUUGAUUUAUUUGAGUAAUCAAGCCAAGAUUUGUGCUUUGCAAGAACGCGAAUUUGAGCGUGUAUUGCGAAGCGAGAUAUUGUGAUUUAAUGCUUUGAAGAGUACCUUGAUUUGUCUUCAAAGUGUUGUUGAAGAACUCUUAUGGGGCGUUUUGACUUGAUCCAAUAGAGCUUCGUUCUUUGUAGACUUCAAGCGUAGAUGAAGGAGGCUUGAGAACUCUUUGAGAGAGAGCUUCCUUGCUUGAAGAGAAAGAGAGAGAGCUUCCUUGCUUGAAGAGCUUGUCUUGAAGAAAAUUUGUAUCUCCAGGAAUCCAAUCCCUGCCUUUAGGUUGAGGUCCUCUAUUUAUAGAGAUCUAUAGGGGCUCUCAGGUCCUUUUCCAAUGUCACGCGGCAUAAUUUUAUUGGUUGGUCUUUAUUGACGGGAUCCUGCAUUUAUGACAAGAUAUCUUGAAUAUCUCAUCCCAAAUGUCAACUUUUCAUAGGCCAAAAAAUAUAUGAAGACUCAUUUGUUUUCUAUGUCAUUUAUUUCAAUUUUAUUUUAUCCUUUCUUUUAAAGAAUAAAAUAACAUAUGGUGAAAUUUGAUUAGUAGAAAAUUUGUGUUUCUACAGAUGCCCCCUCGAGACAAGUUCACUUACUUUUGGAACAAGUGGACAUGUCUCGAAAAAUAUAGUUGAGAGGGUUUUAUAUUUUUGACUAAAAUUUAAUUUGAUCAUAUUAGAUUUUCACAAGAAGCAGAUAAAUUUUAUUGUGAAAAUAAAAUAUGAUAAUCAAAAUUGAAAAUUUAUGGAUCAAUCUUGAUUGAGAUUUAUCAAAUCAAAUGAUAGAAUAUUCAGGUCCAACACCUCAUUUGAAACUGUUGCAUAUUCAAGACUCAACAAAAUUUAUCUUUAUACCCGUAUAGCAACCAAUAAAAUUUACUGCAAUUUCAAUUUCAAACAGCUCCAGAUAUCUUUAUUUACAUUUCAGCUGUUACCUUAUGAAAUGUAAUCACUUUCUCUUAGAAUAAGCAAAUGGAUUUCAAAUUAGUUGUCUAACAUAUUAUACUACGUACAGAAAGCUUUUAUUGGAAUACUUUCCAUAUAGUUCUUUUGGCCAUGAAACAAUCUCAUUUGAUUUCUUUGAACCUUUUAGGUCUCCGACUGUAAACCUUCAAGUCAUUUGUGGUAGAUUCCGCACCAUUCUUGAAGCCACUUCCACCGGGUUCCGCCUCAUUGUCACGCUUGUUAUCAUGGCAUCUCUUGUUUGUUCCCACGCCGGCAUUAGUGAAUUGUUCCGUUGGAAGAUAAAUUCCACAUGCAAGAAUGGUUUUCCCCCUCUGAGUGAUUCCACAUAAUUGUUGUACAAGCUGUCCAAAUUCCGUUGGAGUUGCUGCAAAUAACCGACGGUAUGGCAAGAUAAAAUCGCAAUAGUUCUCUGCUUGGGUGUAUAGUUGGCGAACCCCACACUUGCUCACAUGACAAUAAUGCAAGGGGUUGUUGUCCAUAUCUUCCACGGAGAAUUCAACUGAGACUUCACUGAAAUUACCAUACCAAAAAUCUUUUGUAGCAUUCAAACAAGGAUCAUAUCCAAGAAAUAGGUGAUCUGACUGGAUAGAUCGUUUGUGCAAUGAGCCAUAGCAACUGGCAAAGUAGCAAUGGAGAACGCAGACAAUUAGUAAAGAUGAAUUCAAAAAUGUUUCCAUCAACUGUAGUUGAUGAGCUUGGGACUGUUCUCAGAGAUGUGCAGCUGUGUGCAUCUAGUUUUGCAAGCCGUGGGGGAAGUUUUAGUAAUGAUACAAGCCUCCAGCAAUGGCGUAAGCCAAGAUACUGCAGCUCAGAGAGUUCACUGAUAUUUUCAGGCAGUAUAACAAAGUUGUUUCCACUCAGAUCCAAUGCUUCCAGUGAGGUUAAGCAGCCAAGACUUUUAGGCACUUCCAGUAUUCCGCAACCACUGAGGUUUAGCUUGCGCAAAUAUUUUAAAUCCACAUCCUGCUCAAGCAAUCGCAAGUCACCAAGAUAUUUUCCUUCCAAAUAUAUACAAUUUCCCAAUUCUAAGCAACAAAGCCCCUUCAGAUUUCUAAUUGGUGAGGGUAAUUUUUGUAUGCCUGUCCUGCCCAAGUAAAGAUAUCUCAAAGAUUCCAUUGUCUCCAAAAUUCCCGGGAAUCUCUGAAAUUGAGAGCAACCUGAGAGGUUGAGCUUUUGCAGAGAUUUCAACUUGCAGAUACUCCCAGGAAGAAUCAUCCAGAUGAAGUCUGUGAGAGUUGUGUCCUCAGCAAACAUCACAAAUCCAGUUUUGCCAAAGAAGUCAACUGGAGAGCAAAGAGGCCACUGGAGUUAGUACACACAGAUGUGUGUGGCCCAAUUACGCCUAUGUUGACUGGACAAAAUAGGUACUUCCUCACUUUUACUAAUGAUUUUAUUAGAAAGACAUGGAUAUACUUUCUGAAGAGGAAGUCAGAAGUAUUCAAUUGUUUUAAAGAUUUUAAAGCAAUUGUGGAGAAGCAAACUGGUUACACGAUCAGAACAGUGAGAUCUGAUCAAGGUGGAGAAUAUACAGCAAAUGACUUUGAAGCCUAUUGUACAUAACAAGGCAUCAGACAUCAGACAACACCAGCUUAUACACCACAGCUGAACGGUGUAGCCGAAAGGAAGAAUCGCACGAUUCUUGACAUGGCAAGAAGUCUGCUCAAAGCAAAGAAGUUGCCCAAGCAAUACUGGGCUAAAGCUGUAUCAUGUGUAGUGUAUCUAUUGAAUCGCUGCCCAACCAAAAGUUUACAAGGAGUCAUUCCAGAAGAAGCAUGGAGUGGUCACAAACCAAGUGUUACUCAUCUACGAGUCUUUGGUUGUGUGGCAUAUGCAAAGAUCCCAGAUGCAAGAAGGACAAAACUCGAUGAUAAAAGCGAGAAAUGCAUCUUUGUCGGAUAUGGUGAAAGAAGGAUGGGAUACAGGCUGUAUAAUCCCAUCACGAAAAAGGUGAUUACGAGUAGAGAUGUUAUCUUUGAAGAAGAUAAAUCUUGGGAAUGGAAUGGUGAUCAAGAAGCAGUCAAAUGGAUCAAUCUUGAUUUGAUCCUUGAAGGUGAAGAAGUACCAACAGUACUUGUCGAAGAACCGAUUGUGCCAGCAGCUGAACCACAAAGUCCGGUGUUUAUACCAGCAGCUGAACCACAAAGUCCGGUACACAGAUUCCCUGUAUUCAACAGGAGGAACACACCAGGAGCAUCAUCAUCAACACCACCAUCAGCAUCCUCGUUAGAAGGACCAAGAAAGAUGCGGAAUCUUGAAGAGUUGUACGAUACCACUCAGGUCAUGGAAGAUACAACUCUGUUUUGUUUUCAUGCAGAUAGUGACCCAUUAAGCUUCAAUAAAGCUGUCACAGAAAAGAAAUGGAUUAAAGCAAUGGAUGAAGAAAUAUAUGCCAUUGAGAAGAAUGAUACCUUGAAGCUGACUUAUCCACCAGUAAAGAAGAAAGCAAUAGGUGUCAAAGGGGUCUACAAGACGAAAGCCAAAUUAAUGGAUAAAGGCUACAAGCAGAGAGAAGGCAUUGAAGAGAGAAGUAUUCAUGCUUGGCAUGAUAUCCCUCGAUUGAGUUUAAAGGGGAGAUUUGUUGAAUCUAAACUCAAUCUAGAAGGUCAAGGAAGGCAACCACCACCCAGCCAACCACCAGCUGCCACCAACCGACCAGCCACCAGCCGCAGCAGCCAGCCGCCAGCUGCCACAGCCGCCAGCCGCCUUCACACCUAGAAAGUUGAAUUUUUUUUAUUCUGAUUUCGUGUAUAAAUAGAGUGCCCAGCUUGUGUUUAUUUGAGUGGAGAGAAUUGAGAGGAACACUAGAAAGAGAAAGAGAGAGAGAGAAGGCGUGUUUAAGCUUUUGUGUUAAGUAAUUGUAAGCUUCGGAUUUUUGUAAUAAAACAGUGUGUUUUAUCCCCUCUGAGUGUUUCAAAGCCACCACCAGUGGUUUCUCCCACCAACACAAUGAAGGUCUUGAUUUUCUUACGACACAAAGCAUCAUAGAGAUGGCUGGUAAAAUUAUUGCGCGUAUCCUUGCCCCUAAAACUAAGGAACACAUCAUACUUCCUUUUAUGAGCAACAGCAGAUGAAGAUGCCAUAUCAGACAGUUACAAGAUCGUGUCUUCCUCAAUCACUAAGAAUCGAAAUCAACAAGUGCUCUCCUUUUUCUCCUAAAGACAUACAAGAGCAGCCACUUCAACAGUUGAACAUUUAUUAAGAGAAAUUGAAGUCUAAGAGUACAAGAACCCACACAACAUAUAUUUGUCUGAAAAUUCCUCAAACUCUGAACGAUGGAUACAUACUAGCUUAAUUUGAUAUGAUCUAUCUUAAUUUGAUCACUCGUCACUUGCUACCAAUGCUAGCUUGCUAUUACUUUCAUUGCAAGAACAGUCACUAGCUGAGCAAUAAGAAUUACAGAUGGAAGAAUUAAUACGUUCAUAAAACAUACUUAUCUAACUCGUAUAUAUAAUCUUAAAUAUAGAAGACGCAUGAACCAGAAAGACUUACCAACAGAUCAUAAGAACAGUUGACUUGUGGUUUUCCAUCAGCAAACAAGACGAAGAAGAAGCUGCAUAUCGUUGAUGAUAACAGACGAUUUUUCUUGUCUAUUGCCUUCUCCUUCUCCUUCAAGUAAAUUCUUACAGACAAUCUGAGCUUCUCGUUAUCUAAAUGAAAGAUGGUUUUUGAUCAAGAAACAGUGAAUGUGAGAAGACUUUGGGGUCAUUAGACUCAAUACCAAAUUCAUUGGCCAAUGAACUUGUCAAUGGCAACGGUACCCCUCAUGGCCAAUGAUUUAUUUUUUUCUUUUUUCUUUUUUAGUGCCUAAUGGAUGGGCUUCCUAAAGUAAUUUGUUUGGGUCUUCCAAACCAAAAUCUUAACCCAUUUCGAACAAAGAGUCUUGGAAACAAAAUUCCAUUUAUUAUUAUUAUUAUUCAUAAAACAUUAUUAAUUUACCUAUGAUUUCCAUGGUAUUAUUGACACUUUAUUUUCUUAAAGCUAUUUAUUGGAUUAUAAUUUAACAUAAUGUUGAAGAUGUCUUUCAUUUAAAUAGGGACAAAAGCAUACACAUCAUAACUAAUUCUUAUAAGAUUUAUAGCAAAUAUAGAAAAUAAGCAUUAUGUUGGAAAUAUGUAUUGAGUCAUUUGCUUUUAGCUUGCAUUCAUUUAAAAAAAAAUAUUCUCGAACUAAAAAAUAUUGUUUCCUUCUCUAUAAAAACAAAUAUUUUCUCUAUCAAAAUUAUCAUGUAAAUUACAUGAUAAGACAAUAAUUUUAAGGUUUAAUAAGUAAAAAAUAUCUAGCAUGAUUACUUCCUGAAAUACUUUUUUUUAUUUUUUUAAGUUAACUAGAUAUGUGCUCCAUGUGUAAUUCGUAUUAUUUUUAUAUUUAGAUUAACGAAGUACUAAUGUAAAAUACUAUUAAAAAUAUAUACCAACUUUACAAAAAUAUAUAUUUUACAAUUGAUGAUAAAAUAAUGUUCAUUUCAGCUGUUAAUUCCACUAAAUAGCAUGUAUCACCUAGUUUUAUAAUUUAAUUUAAUUUUUAUUUUCCUAUGAAAAAAAGUAAUUGAUCCUUUAACAUUGCUUUGUUUUGUGAUUAAUCUUGAUUAUUUAUUUUUCAUGCAUAUGCAUGAGAUUCUUGAUAUGUCACGGAAAUAUUUAAUCUCUUAGUUAAUCUUAGUUAAUGCUUGGUUUGAGAAAGCAAAAUUUUAUUUUAUUGAUUUCAAAUAAUUACAACUUAAAUAACCAAAUUUGAAGAUUAAAGAAAUGUUUAUUUAUUUUUUUCAAAAUUAGAGAUUGAUUUGUAUGGUUAGGAGGGAGUUCAUGUACUAUUUUUAUUUUGGUCCCUUAACUGUUUAAUCUCUUAGUUAAUGCUCGGUUUGGAAAAGUAAAUUUUAAUUUUAUUGAUUUCAAAUAAUUAUAACUUAAAUAAUCAAAUUUGAAGAUUAAAGAAAUAUUUAGUUUUAUUGGGUUAAAAUUAAGGAUUGAUUUGUAUGGUUAUGAGGAAGUUUAUGUCCUGUGUUUUUUUUUUAUCCCUUAACUUUUUUUUUUUUUAUUUGAUCCCUUCAUAUUGAUUUUAUUUGGGAUGGAAUUGGUAGUUUGUUUUGAAUGCCUUGACAUAGAGAUCUUACAAUAUUGAAAAAAAAUUAUGGGGCUUAGUUGAUACAUUUUGAUGAGUAAUACAAAUUUCAGCUAAUAUAGAACUACUAAAAUUUAGGAACUAAAAAAAAAAACAAAUAUAAAAACUUAGUAAACAAAUAGGAUAAAUAGGUUGUGGCACGUACCAAUGUUUGAAAGAUAUCUAUUAUGUCUAUUUAUGUUUUUUGCAUGAACAUACUAGAGAAAUUUCUCAUUUUUUAUUUUUGUGACUUUGGGCAUUUAUCAUAGGCUGAUAUAGAAGAGAAAAGAGGAGUUACAGUAACUAAUUGUGGAAUUCCAGAGGUAAAGUCAUCAUCUUUUCCCAAUAGGGUUCAGUUAGGAGCCUCAAGCAAAACAAGUAGCAAAGAGUAAAGCUUUAUGGGAUGAGGAUUGGGGACCUGUUUCAAAAGUAUCUUUCACUGCACAUCGACCUUCAGCAAGUAACUCAUCACCCACUCCAUCUAUUUCAGCCAAUCAACAAGUUCAGUUAGCAUUUUUGCCAUCAGAAUCUUCCAUGACAUAUGCAGUAUCCAAUACGCAGUAAGCCAUAUCAUGGCCUCCAGUUGAUAUAGAAUGGCCUCCAAGGACAUCUUCAACUAUUAUUCCUCGGCUAGAUGAUGAGGGAGAGGAGGGUGGAUGACCUGGAGUUAUAGGUCCAACAUUAUGUGAAGCCAUUGGCAAAGCCUUGCUGGCUAUUUAUAUAUAUAAAAAAAAGUUGUAAGGCCCUCUUUGUAUACUGUGAAAGUUCAAUAUUUCCCUUCUGUUGUUCUUUGCUUUUCUCUCUUGUAAAUGGCUAAUUAAAUUUUGCUUCGAGUAGGUAGCGCAUAAUUAUUUUUGUUUUUGAUAAGAAUAAAGCAACUGAAAUGCAACAUUUCAUUCAUUCAAGCUUUGACAUGAAAAAAUAUGAACAUGAAUGAUCCAUAUCUUCCAACACCUUCCAUCUACUUGACUACCCCUACAUAUCUAUCUUCUGCACCUAUAAUUGUUCUACUAAUCCUUCUCUCACUAGCCUUAGUGAAAUUAUUGACUAAUUAGUGCAUUCCUGACUUAAAUCUAUAUUGCUUGAAGUUCGUCUUCUCAAUGUGUUCAAAAGUCGUCAUCUUAUUAGAUUUUGAGCAAUGACACUGCUUGUUCAUGGGUUUUGAGAUGAAACAAUCUCGUAUCCAUCAUAAUAAGUCCAUUCCUUCAGCCAAGAUUUGCCAAACCAAGCCACCACCAAUUGUCCCUCUAGUUCUUGCAAAGAUGUAGAUGAUUGUAUAGACUGUAUUCAAGAAAAAUCCCUCACACUUGUACUGUAUCCUGGAUCUUUAUUUGAUUACCCGAAUUCAGCAAAAACCAAUGGCUUCUUUAAUAUGGUUUUUGAGUCUGUCCAAUGACUAGAUAUCCACAUUUGCAUGAAUUCCAUUUGUGCAUUAUCAUUCUGUCCAGAUACCCUGUAAAUUUGACAGAACAGUACCAUGUUAAUUAUCUUUGCAACAUGUCUUUUUAAGCUUGGUGAAAAAACAUCAUGAUUAAUUGAUUAUUAUUUCCUUUCGUGCUUACCAUAUGUCAGGGUAUGCAUGUAUUAUAGCAAAAUCACUAUCCCUAACGAGAUGAUUGCUAAUAAACUCUGUGUCAAUAGAUUUAACAUAAGGUGCCAGCUCUUGAACCCAUCCCUGUCAGAUUUAAAGACAAUCAUUAAUUAAUAGAUGAAUUAUAAUUAACCUAAUAACUACCACAAAAAUAAUCAAUUACUCAUGGUUGUUGUUUCUUACAUUUAUAGGCUUUCCAGAGUAGUCAACCUGGCAGCGAGGUUCGUACAUCAAUUCCCAUGCAAUGAUGGUUGGCUCAUCCAUAUAAGCAACUCCAGUGAUCGUGGUGAUCCUUGUUAACACUCUAUCUGUUGAAAAAAAAAGAAAGAAAAGAAACAUUAUUCAUCUCUAAUCAUAACAUUACAGAAGGGAAAUUUGUCAUAUUUGAUUUGGUGCUCAAAAUAUGUAACUUGACAUGGUUCUUGUGAUAGCCCUUCACAACAACGUUUGUAUAAAUAAAAAUCAUCAUCGUUGUUUACUGGCACUCCUGCGGCUCUAACCCAAUUCACGUAUUACGGUCUCCCUCCAAAGUCAUGGUAAUUAUUGCUUAAUGUCAAGAUUGAGCGAAUUAUGUACUUUCUUGCCUCAGAAAUCAUAAAAUCAAGUCCCUGAGAAUUAUAAACAGUAUUUAGCAUUGCUUAGAUUUUUCUUAGUUGGGGAACAAGUUAAAACACAAUUUUGGAGACAUAAAUAUACAAGCAUAUACCUGAAAGACAUGCUCACUACAAACCCCAGGAGAAAUCUGCAGAGCUUGAUAACCUUCAUCACUAAAUGUCCAUGUUCGACAGACAGUAAGACCUGUGUCAGCAGCCGUGCGAAAUACAUUAGAUAUUUUGUACCUUUGACUUGGCUGUGCUGCAACAUUCAUCAUCUAGUAGGAGUUGAACCCAUUAAAAAGGAAUGGAGAGCCACUUAGGACAAAUUAGGUGUUUGUAAUUUGAAUGAAUCCAGACGUAGGAAGCCCAUCUUUAUAAGUAACAAAGGCUAAAAACAAUAUAAUAGUACCAAAAAAAGCAAAGCUUACAUCCCUAAAGCUUGCCAUCUUGCUUGAAAUUUAUGUUUUAAUUUGCCUUUGGUUGAUUCGUACUUGAAAGGAUGGAUGUGAGGACAAGUUAGGGAGAUGUGGUGCCUGUUUAUAGAAGUGAAGGGUGAUGAGCAUAUAGAGGUUCUUAAUUUAAUAUAUAUGAAAUGUUUAAGAGAAUGAAAAACUAUUUAUUUACAUUUUAGGAAAAGAUAAACAUACAGAAAAUUAAAUUUGGAUAAUGUUAUUUAAAGGGAACAUGGAAUUGGUGAGGAAUUUAUAAGAUGUAACAGAAAUUGUUGAGUAUCAUCCUUAAAAUGAUGAUGGCUAAGUAUGGCUAAUCUAAGAAUUAGGAAAUGAUCAAAUAUAAAUUAUUACCAGCCUUAUUCAUUGUAGUUCUCAUAAUCAAAUAUUUUGACUCUUCACAAGAACAUCUUCCACUCUAUAGACAAUAAAGCAGUUUGAAUGGCGUUAAGGAAAAAAAUAACAUUAUUAUUUAUUAUUAAAUUGAUGUUGGGCUUACAAUGUUUAUGAAUUGUUUAAUUCAAUAGUAAUUAUAUUGAUUAGAUAUAUUAAAAUUCCUUAUUUAAUAAGUGCAUGGAUAUUGACCCAAAUUGACCCAAAUAUAUGGUUAUUUUUUAUUUGAUGGAUAAUAGGUAGAGUAUGAAUAUUGUCAAACAUGACCUGAAAUCCCAAAAUAUAUAUUUAUAUAUAUAAUAUAUAUAAUUUUAUUUUUAUUAAUUGACAUGCAAUUUUCAAAGGGUCUUUUAGAGACGAAGCUUUAUCCUUUUAGUUUGGUGAAAUAGCAUUCCCAAAGUCUAUGUAAGAAUUAACCUCCUUAUCAACUUGGCUACAAACACCAAUUUGAUAAAAAAAAAAAUUUACAAAUCUGUUGCAGAAAUGAAAAAAAUUCUAUCAACCAAAAUUUGAUAUUUUUUUUUGAAAAGAUAAAAUAAAAUUAAAAUAAAUGACAUGAUAAAAAAAUAAAUAGACCUUUAUAUAUUUCUGAGUCAAUGAAAGGUUGACAAGUGGGAUAAGAUAUUUAAGAUAUCUUAUCAUAUAUAUAUAUAUAAGAUUUUAUAAAUAAAAAUCAACAAAUGAAAUAAUAUCAUGUGGCAUUGAAAAAGAACUUGAGAGCCCCUACAAAACUCAAAAUAAAGGGCUUACCCUAGAAAAAAAAAAGAUUUUUUGGAGAUACAAAUUUCUUUUCAAAACAAACUCUUCAAGCAAGAGAACUCUCUCAAAAGCUCUCAACAAACGAAACUAUGUUGAAUCAAGCAUAAAUGCCCCAUAAGAGUUUUUUAACAACACUUUGAAAACAAAUUAAAGAUACUCUUGAAAGCAUCAAAUCAUCAAAUAUUAUUCUUCAAUACAUAUCUAAAUUUAGGUUCUUGCACGACAUAAAUCUUGGCUUGAUUUCACAAAUAAAUCAAAUCACCAUAUACCAAAUUCAAGGGAAGGAUAAAAGAAUUGUUUACUCUUUUGCAAGAAUAUUUAAAAUAGAGAUUGUACCUAGUCAUAUAUUUAAUAAAAUCAAAUAUUUAUACACAUGUGCUUAUCAAAUUUCAGGUGCUCAAAAUUGUGUUUAUAAAUUUCUAGCAUAAAAUCAAACAUCUAUACCUCUCGUGUCUUCCUUUCAGAAAGAAUUUCCAACAACCUCUCAAUGACAACUAGGAAGAGCAUGAUCAUCGUUGUCGCUUAAAAAAAAAAUACAAGGCUAUUGAUUCAAGUCACCGAUAUACCGUUGAAGAUUCUUCAACCUGUCAUUGAAUACAAAAUUCAUCGCAGAAUUGUAUUUGCAAACUAAGCCAAUUAUUGAGCUAAUGUCAGCAUCAAAUGCAAAGGAGGCAUGAGAGUUUGCUCCAAAACUGAAGCUACAAGUACCUCCACCAUAAAAGUCAAGUAGGGUCCGUAGGCUUUUCUUCGGCACUUAAGGUGAGUACUCUGAAAAUUCACCUAUAGAGACUUCUUCAUGUCAAUCACCAAGUAAGGUUUUGGGUUUUAGCAUCAUAUUAGUGAUGAUGAUCGAGACUGCAUCUUUGGAGAAUCAAGUGGCUAACUUGUCAAAAAUCUUCGAAGGGCUUUCAAGUUCACUCAAGGCAAAAGAGCACUAGAUAAAAAAGUUGAUAAACAAACUCGAGAGCAUGAACGAGGGAGGCCAAACUGCAACUAUAAAGGAUUUGCAAGUAGAUCAAUUAGAUGUCAUUGAGGAUUCUAUAAUUGGAGCCACAAGGAAUAUCCACGGUAUUAUCGAUGGCAUCUUCACCACGAAUUAACUGAAAGAACUUAUCAAAAAAAGUCAUAACGGACAAAAUAGAAAGAUCAAUUCAACCUUCAUAUUCUUAUGUGAAGCUGUACAAAGAAAGGAUUAACCUGCUAAGGAUGCCUUUGAGCUAUCAACCAUCAAAGUCUCAAUAAUAUAAUGGAAAAGAGAAUCCAAGGCAACAUGUAGCUCACUUUGUGGAGACUUGCAACAAUGUCAAAACGAUGGUGAUCUCAUGGUAAAACAGUUUGUCUAUUCGUUAAAAGGUAAUGCCUUCGACUAGUACACUAACUUGAAGUCUGGCUCAAUUGAUAGUUGGGAGCAAUUGGAAUGCGAGUUUCUUAACCGCUUCUACAACACUCAUCGUGGUCAGUAAGAUUGAACUCACCAAUGCACGUCAAUACAAGGAAAGCAUGUCAUUGAUAUAUUCAUUGGUGGAGAAACCUUAGCCUCGAUUGUAAGGAUCGACUCAUCGAAACUUAUGCGCUAAAUAUGUGUAUUCAAGGGAUACCCCGAGCACACAACUCUCCAGUCCACUUUGGCCAACCUAAUCAGACUCAUUAAAGUUACCGCCUCGACUUGGUAUCAUGCAAAUUCCUUGCACUAGCCCACAUCACAAUGUAUUAUUACGAACUCCAAAAAGUCAUCAUGGCAUCACACACCACCUACUAGUGCUACACGAUGCCAUCUAAUUCUCUAUUAUGGUGCCCGACCUCUGUAAUAGUAAAAAAUAUUAUUCUACUUCCCGUGCCAUCACUUCUAAUUAAUAUAAGCAGGAGGUGCUUGUUCAUAUUUAAUAGGAUGUGAUGGGUAUCAUAAUUACUAACACAGACCUAGAGUAUGGGAGCUUAGUGUAGAGUGACAUGUUAGUUAUGCACCCAAUCUAAGGGAUGUUGGGCUCAAUACGCCCAAAGCGCAGGAGAAAAAGGGGCGCAGACGUAUCCAGAUCCACUGUGAAGCUGGGCGUGGACACGACUAGGUCCAAAGUGGGGUUGGGCGUGGUCGCGCCCGAGCCCAAUUGUGGGACCGGGCGUGGAUGCGUCCGUGCCCAACAUAGAUUUGGACGUGGACGCGCCCGGGCCCGAUCAUGGACUGAACGGGGACGUGUCCAGGCCCAACAUAGAGUUGGGGGUGGUGUACCCCAACCCAACUUGGGGUUGGACACCCGAAAAGACAUAGCUCCAUUUUGGGUUAUGAUUUUCAUGCAUUAUCUCUUAAAUAAGGUUGAGUUGAGAAACUAUGACCCAUCAAUAUCCAAAAUCAUAAGAUUCUAAAAGACACAAAAAAAUCAAAUCUGUCCUCAUAACUUCUCAUAAGUUACUAGGGAUUAAAAAUAAAAAAAGGAGGAGAAAACAAGUCAACUACAAAGAGAAUAUUUUGUUUUAGUCUGUGCUCGUGGAGAUGGAGAGAAGAAAUCAUGGAGGGAAAAAUGGUUUUCUAUGUAUACUAGAUUGAUAUAUUGUUCCUUUGUAUGGGUUAUAUUAUAUAAAGGAUAUUUUUAUCUUUUAAUCAAAAUUAAAUCUUGAAGUAUAAUUUCUAAAGCUAUAGAGAGAGAUAUUAAAAUCGUUUUCAAACCUUGGUAGAUGAGUAAUUUUUCUAUUAUAAAUUGUGUACGGCUAACAGGUGUUUUAGUACACUUGCUAAGUCCCAUUUAACAUUCCAAAUUAAUUCAUGUGUUUAACGUUUUGUUUAUAAUUUAUUAUAGACACUUAAAAACAUCACCAUAUAAACUAUUUAACAUAUUUAAUUAAUUUAAUUGAUUUUUAUUUGAAUAUUUGUUUUUUAAUUAUUAUUUUUACCACAAUUCAAUAAUAAUAAAAUCUAAGAAAUACAUUAUUCAAAUAAUGGUUUACUAUUCAUAUAAUAUAAAUAGUAAAGAAUCUUAAUACAUAUUUUAAUUAGUUUAUAAUAAUUUUCUUGUUGUUAUGUGGCAGAGGCACACGUGAUAUGAUGCAGGUUGCAGCUCGAGAGUGGAUGGCAACACUUAAUUUUUUAUUUUUUACAAACAACAGGUAGUCCGUAACUUUCUUUUUUUUUUUAAGGACGAAUAACAUUCAAAUUCAUCUAAACAGGAACCUUAUGGUCUCUUUAAGCAAUGGAGCAAUACUUCACUAUGAAAAUAAAAUUAUGUUCAAAUAAUACAAUGAAAAAAAAAAGAAAAAGGAAAAGUGUUUUUUUCUCAGAUCUGAAUCCAUGUCGUGAAAAACAUGUUGGGAAUGGUUUCCCAGAUUUCUCCUGCUAUAUCUAUCUAUCAAUUGAUUUGAUGAUAAAGUUUUCAUGUUACCUUCAACCAGUAUGGCAAGAUAAAAUCACAAUAGUUCUCCGCUUGGCUGUAUAGCUGGCGGACCCCACACUUUCUCACAUGACAAUAAUGCAAGGAGUUGUUGUCCAUAUCUUCCACGGAGAAUUCAACUGAGACUUCACUGAAAUUACCAUACCAAAAAUCUUUUGUAGCAUUCAAACAAGGAUCAUAUCCAAGAAAUAGGUGAUCUGACUGGAUAGAUCGUUUGUGCAAUGAGCCAUAGCAACUGGCAAAGUAGCAAUGGAGAACGCAGGGAUCAGCAUGGUCAUUCUUGAAUGGUAAGUACAUUUAACUUGGAAUCCACCAGAGUCGUCAUAAGAUGGUUCGAAUGCAACAACAGUGCACAGCAUGAAACCCAAUAACUCACUACUAGCGCAAUGUGAAGGCAGCUUAAUUGUCACAGAAGCUGCUGAAUUCUGCUGCACAAACCACGCUGGACUUUACAUCCAGGAAGCAAAAAACUAGAUACCCCAGCAGCUACUGAUGAAAUCUGCAUCAUGAAAAACAUGCUCAACUCUACCUCCAAUAAAAACGAGAGAAGAGAUUAAAUACGGGAUUGUACGGGGAUUGCACGUGCGUGCGUGCGAGCGUGCGUGCGUGCGUGUGUGAGAGAGAGAGAGAGACCUCAUUGUAAAGUCUUUUGGCAUAUAGCUGAAUUUCAAGAGAGCAUAUGCCAUGAUAUUGUUGCGUGCAGUCUCAUCCAACAUGAGACAAUUAGUAAAGAUGAAUUCAAAAAUGUUUCCAUCAACUAUAGUUGAUGAGCUUGGGACUGUUCUCAGAGAUGUGCAGCUGUGUGCAUCAGUUCUGCAAGCCGUGGGGAAGUUUUUGUAAGGACAAGCCUCCUGCAAUAGCGUAAGCCAAGAUAUUGGUGACAUUUGAGCAGCCAGAGACAUCAACAAUAACAAUAGACUUCAACAAACAAUACUGUCUGGAAGAUUCCCAAGUUGUUUACAGUCCCUCAAAUUCAAAGCAACGAGUCUACUCAGAUGUCCAAUAGAUUGGGGAAGUUCUUUGAUUGCAGUCUCAUUGAAAUUCAAAUACAUCACAUGCUCUGUAGUCUCUGGGUACAUCUUGAGAUUGAGCAGCCAGAGAGGUCAAGAGCCUUGAGAUAUUUCGAUUUAAUAAUCUUGGAAAAUAAAAGGCUUGUGCAGCUUCUCAGAUCCAAAUCAACAAGCUCUAGAAAUUGAAGAGAUGAGGGAACCACUUUCAGAGUUGUACAAAAUUGAAGAUUCAAUCUCUCAAGAUUUUAGCCUUUGAUAGUCUGGAAUUGUAGUUAGAUGCUCACAAUUACUAAGGUUGACCUCUGUUAAAUUCACAAGAUUCUGCACCCCAUAGCAUUGAUAAAUAUAUAUAUAUAUAGUAUCAGUACAUUUUAAAAUUCAUUUGAAGGAGGAGAAAAAUUACAUGUGUAGUGACUAAACCAUACCUGGUCCCCCUUCCAAAGUCCUCGAACCUUGCUGUGUGAUAGAUUAAGUUCAACAAGGUUCUCCGGAUGAAAAUGGAUGGCAAAGAUUUCAGAGGGUAUCCAUCCCAAUGGAGAUACCUCAACUCAUCAGAAAGUGAUUUGAGACCAUGAGGAAGGUACACUUUACAGUUUUUUUCCAACUUCAUAAUUAUAAAUUAUGAGCAAUCUAAGAUUAUACUGUAGACACAAUUUUGUGCACCUGAAAUUAAACAAGCACAUGUGUACAAAUAUAUGAUUUUAUUAAAUAUAUGAAUGGUACAAUCUCUAUGUAAUAUACUCUUUCAAAAAGAAUAUAGCAAUCCUCUAAUUCUUUCCCUUGGAUUUGAUAUAGUGACUUGAUUUAUUUGAGUAAUCAAGCCAAGAUUUGUGCUUUGCAAGAACGCGAAUUGAGCGGUAUUGCGAAGCGAGAUAUUGUGAUUUAAUGCUUGAAGAGUAACCUUGAUUUGUCUCAAAGUGUUGUUGAAGAACUCUUAUGGGGCGUUUUGACUUGAUCCAAUAGAGCUUCGUUCUUUGUAGACUUCAAGCGUAGAUGAAGAGGCUUGAGAACUCUUUGAGAGAGAGCUUCCUUGCUUGAAGAGAAAGAGAGAGAGCUUCCUUGCUUGAAGAGCUUGUCUUGAAGAAAAUUUGUAUCUCCAGGAAUCCAAUCCCUGCCUUUAGGUUGAGGUCCUCUAUUUAUAGAGAUCUAUAGGGGCUCUCAGGUCCUUUUCCAAUGUCACGCGGCAUAAUUUUAUUGGUUGGUCUUUAUUGAACGGAUCCUGCAUUUAUGACAAGAUAUCUUGAAUAUCUCAUCCCAAAUGUCAACUUUUCAUAGGCCAAAAAAAUAUAUGAAGACUCAUUUGUUUUCUAUGUCAUUUAUUUCAAUUUUAUUUUAUCCUUCUUUAAAGAAUAAAAUAACAUAUGGUGAAAUUUGAUUAGUAGAAAAUUUGUGUUUCUACAGAUGCCCCCUCGAGACAAGUUCACUUACUUUUGGAACAAGUGACAUGUCUCGAAAAAUAUAGUUGAGAGGGUUUAUAUUUUGACUAAAAUUUAAUUUGAUCAUAUUAGAUUUUCACAAGAAGCAGAUAAAUUUUAUUGUGAAAAUAAAAUAUGAUAAUCAAAAUUGAAAAUUAUGGAUCAAUCUUGAUUGAGAUUUAUAUCAAAUCAAUGAUAGAAUUCAGGUCCAACACCUCAUUGAAACUGUUGCAUAUUCAAGACUCAACAAAAUUUAUCUUUAUACCCGUAAGCAACCAAUAAAAUUUACUGCAAUUUCAAUUUCAAACAGCUCCAGAUAUCUUAUUUACAUUUCAGCUGUUCCUUAUGAAAUGUAAUCACUUUCUCUUAGAUAAGCAAAUGGAUUUCAAAUUAGUUGUCUAACAUAUAUACUACGUACAGAAAGCUUUUAUUGGAAUACUUUCCAUAUAGUUCUUUUGGCCAUGAAACAAUCUCAUUUGAUUUCUUUGAACCUUUUAGGUCUCCGACUGUAAACCUUCAAGUCAUUUGUGGUAGAUUCCGCACCAUUCUUGAAGCCACUUCCACCGGGUUCCGCUCAUUGUCACGCUUGUUAUCAUGGCAUCUCUUGUUUGUUCCCACGCCGGCAUUAGUGAAUUGUUCCGUUGGAAGAUAAAUUCCACAUGCAAGAAUGGUUUUCCCCCCUGAGUGAUUCCACAUAAUUGUUGUACAAGCUGUCCAAAUUCCGUUGGAGUUGCUGCAAAUAACCGACGGUAUGGCAAGAUAAAUCGCAAUAGUUCUCUGCUUGGGUGUAUAGUUGGCGAACCCCACACUUGCUCACAUGACAAAAGCAAGGGGUUGUUGUCCAUAUCUUCCACGGAGAAUUCAACUGAGACUUCACUGAAAUUACCAUACCAAAAAUCUUUGUAGCAUUCAACAAGGAUCAUAUCCAAGAAAUAGGUGACUGACUGGAAGAUCGUUUGCAAUGAGCCAUAGCAACUGGCAAAGUAGCAAUGGAGAACGCAGACAAUUAGUAAAGAUGAAUUCAAAAAUGUUUCCAUCAACUGUAGUUGAUGAGCUUGACUGUUCUCAGAGAUGUCAGCUGUGUGCAUCUAGUUUUGCAAGCCGUGGGGAAGUUAGUAAUGAUACAAGCCUCCAGCAAUGGCGUAAGCCAAGAUACUGCAGCUCAGAGAGUUCACUGAUAUUUCAGGCAGUAUAACAAAGUUGUUUCCACUCAGAUCCAAUGCUUCCAGUGAGGUUAAGCAGCCAAGACUUUUAGGCACUUCCAGUAUUCCGCAACCACUGAGGUUUAGCUUGCGCAAAUAUUUUAAAUCCACAUCCUGCUCAAGCAAUCGCAAGUCACCAAGAUAUUUUCCUUCCAAAUAUAUACAAUUUCCCAAUUCUAAGCAACAAAGCCCCUUCAGAUUUCUAAUUGGUGAGGGUAAUUUUUGUAUGCCUGUCCUGCCCAAGUAAAGAUAUCUCAAAGAUUCCAUUGUCUCCAAAAUUCCCGGGAAUCUCUGAAAUUGAGAGCAACCUGAGAGGUUGAGCUUUUGCAGAGAUUUCAACUUGCAGAUACUCCCAGGAAGAAUCUUAAAUUUUGUACAGUUUCGUAGAUGCAAUUCAACAAGUUUGUAAAAACACCCGAUUGACGAUGGGAUUUCUUCUAUUGUUGUCCCAUUAAAAUACAGCUCUUUUAUAUUACACCAAACAUUUGGAAACUCUGUGAUAUUGGAGCAGCCAGAGAGAUUAAGUUUCUCAAGAUAUGCCAACUCAUAAAUGGUACUUGGAAGAUUCUUGAGCCUUCUACAGUUGGACAGAUCCAAAGAAGAGAUUAUCCAGAGAUGACCAACAGAAAAUGAAAAUUCUUCUACUGCAGUUCCACUCAAGUAUAAAUACCUUGUAUUCCCUGGUAUGCUCAGAAACUUGGUGACAUUUGAGCAGCCAGAGACAUCAACAAUAACAAUAGACUUCAACAAACAAAUACUGUCUGGAAGAUUCUCAAGUUGUUUACAGUCCCUCAAAUUCAAAGCAACGAGUCUACUCAGAUGUCCAAUAGAUUGGGGAAGUUCUUUGAUUGCAGUCUCAUUGAAAUUCAAACACAUUACAUGCUCUGUAGUCUCUGGGUACAUCUUAAGAUUUGAGCAGCCAGAGAGGUUAAGAGCCUUGAGAUAUUUCGAUUUAAUGAUUCUUGGAAGACUCAAAAGGCUUGUGCAGCUUCUCAGAUCCAAAUCAACAAGCUUCUCUAGAAAUUGAAUAGAUGAGGGAACCACUUUCAGAGUUGUACAAAAUUGAAGAUUCAAUCUCUCAAGAUUUUUAGCCUUUGAUAGGUCUGGAAUUGUAGUUAGAUGCUCACAAUUACUAAGGUUGACCUCUGUUAAAUUCACAAGAUUCUGCACCAUCAUUGUACUGAUAACAAAAAAAAUAUCCAUGGUCAUAUGUGAAUACUUUCAAACUUCAUAGACCAAAUCUCUAAAAAGAAACAAGAAAUGAAAGAAAUUAAGCAUUCACAUACAUGACACUCACCAUAUUUUUUGUCAAAACUUGAUUGACAUCCCUAGGACUCCAUAACCUACUACGUUUUCCCAGUUCUUUUAUGGAUUCUUGUCGGACAAUUUCGAAAGCCAUUUCUUGCACCAGAUCAUGCAUUUCAAGCUUUCCAUUUGAAAUAGUAAUAAGGCACCUUUCAGCAAGAAAAAAAACUCCAAUAUUUGUUGAGAAACCACAACCAUCCAGUAUUCUCUUCACGUAAUCAAUUUGCUUCCCUUUAAAGAAACACGCAAUAUCAAGAAAUAUGUUCUUCUCUUCAUCACCAAGUGCAUCAAAACUUACUUUCAACAUAUUAUAAAUUUUCAGCUGAGGAUUUCUUUCAAGUUUAUUCAAUGCAUUUUCCCAGUCCUCUUUCCUUAGGUCAAAUAGAAAGGAACCCAAAACAUUAAGAGCCAAUGGGUUUCCUCUAGCAUAAUUUACUGCCCUGAUUGAUAGGCCCAUAUAAUCUUUUGGAAUGUGGUUUCCUUUGAAGACAGACAAACUGAAGAGUUGACGAGCUUCACUGCAAUUUAAUUCCUCGACCUCAUAAAUUUCAUCAGCCACAUUCUUAAGCACUUGUCUAUCUCUGGACCUCAUAUAUUUCAUCAGCCACAUUCUUAAGCACUUGUCUAUCUCUGGACGUUACAAGAAUUCUACUUCCUGGACCAAACAUAUCAUGCCUUUCAAUUAAACAUUCCACUUGUUCUACAUCAUUCACAUAAUCUAGAACAAUUAAGACUUUUUUGUGCCGGAUCCUUUCCUUGAUUAAAGUGGAUCCCAUGCGUGGAGUGUCAAUAGUAGAUUUUCCUGCUCUAAUACUCUGGAAAGGAAUUCCUCUCGCAAGCGAAUCAAGCCACCACAUUCUUCCGAUUUCUCUCUUACAUUGGUAAUAAAACAGCAGCUUUCAUAUUGACUUGAAAUUCUGUUGAAAACAGCUUCAGCAAUGGUUGUCUUACCUAUACCACCCCAUGCCCCAUAUUCCGAUUAUACGAGCUUCAGAUGAUCUAAUGCAUAAAAGUGUUUUGAGUCGUUCAAUGCGUGAAUCUAUCCCAACUAGGCCCUUAGAGUCACCUAAUGAUGUGUGGUUCAAUUUUUUCAAAAUGAAUUGCACAAUUUCACUUACAAGUUUGGACUCGGGCCUACCAAAUACAAGGAACAAGCGUUAGUAAAACAAAAGUUAUCCAAAAAAAAGUAAAUAGAAUAAUGAAGAUAAUGCAGUAUCUUUUUAUUUUUUAUUUUUUUGUUAAGAGUUCAUUUGGAAUUUUUGUGAUCAUUACGCUUGUAGCAACUAACUCAAAUUUCUUAAAUUUAUAAUGUUUCUUGAAAUUCACCAGUGCAUAGCAUUUUUAAGGCUGAUUUAGAAGUCCCAGGAACAUAUACAAUUUAAAAGUUAUAAUUUUGCACAAGUAAACCCACAAGAAGUGCGGUGACACAAGACUGGGCAAUUAAGUUCCAUCACAGUAAUAGUCCUUCUGUGGAUUCAAAUUAACAUGGGAAUCAGUUUUAAAAGCUCAAACUGAGAUAUUAUAACCUUUAAGUGAAAUAAAUUUAUGCUUUUUAAAGUUAUUAUCCUAAACUGGAAAACAUAAACUAGUUAAAUUGCUAAAGAACAUGUCUAAGGACUGCGCCCCUUUUAAGCGAUUAUACUAAAUGACCAUUUCAUGAUGAGCAAGUAUAAUUUGGUUUGCAUACUGAAUAAUGCUAGAAAUACUUAAUUCUGACAUAAUUGAUGUGUUACCUCAAAAAGGAUCGAGUUACUUCACCUAACUAAACAAUGUACUAAGCUAGUAAUUCGAUAAUUGCCAAGUGUUGAUUCUUAAAAAACUUUUAUUAGUAAAGAACAAUGGCAGAUUCUAUUACCAUGUUCAAAAACAUUUAGCCCCUUUGUCUAAUUAGUGUUUUGAAAUUUAAUGUGGAACGGUAACUCCAUCAUUUCCAGGGCAGCUAAAAAUAAAGAAACUUGCAUUCUUUCAAAUUCUUGAAAGUGCAAAGUAAGGGAACUUUAUUGUUCUUAUUUAUUUUCCAACCCUUAGCUAGUUCCAUACCCAUUGGAAAUCAGCCUUUUUAACAUUAUGCAUAAUUUUAGCUAUAUUAGAAAAUGGGCAUGCUAAAAAUGGCACAAAUAAUACUUAUAUUCACGUAUUCAAGUGAAACCUGCAAAUGGUAUAGAAUAGAGAGAAAAGGUUACCUAGUGACUUGUGAAUCCCAUCCAGAAAUAUUGGCCGCAUUUGUCAAGUCAGCUCUCCAGCUUGAAACCUUGUCUAUAUUCCAUUUAAAAUUUCUUUCAAGUUUAGCAAAUGCAUUUCCAAAACUCCCUCUCUGUUCAUCCACAUCAGAUGGGUCUACAUGAUAAAAAACUGGUAAGACAAUCUGCCCACAUGUUCUCUUGCAUUCCAGUAUCUUCACCAGUUCAUCCACACACCACGGAGAAGAUGCAUAGUUUUUUGAGAAUAUCACUACUGAAAUUCUUGAAUCUUCAAUUGUUCUCAACAGUGCAGGUUCAAUUUCUUCACCCCUUUCAAGAUCAUUAUCUAUGAAAGUCUUGAUUUGUUUACGACAUAAGACAUCAUAGAGAUGGCUGGUAAAAGUGUCACGAGUAUCCUUGCCUCUAAAACUGAGGAAUACAUCAUACUUCCAUUGUUGAGCAGUUGUAGAAGAAGAUGCCAUAUCCGACAUUCACUAGCUUGUGCGGAAAAUCACUUGAAAUUAGAAGUUCAUUGAUGCUCUCUUUUUCACCUAGUAAAGAAAAAUUAAGGAUAUAAAUCACAGUCGAUAACACUAAACAACAGUCGAGAAUUUUAAGAGAAGGACAAAUCACUAAACUCAUUAAACACUAAACGCUGAAACCCACCUUACAAAUAUCAAGGAUUCAAAAAUUUCUUCACAAAAAAAUCACCAGAUCCUUCCACCCCAAAAUGCCGACAUAAAGGGAAUACUUGCGGCCUGUUAAUGGACUAGAAAGUUAGAAACCAUGCUCAAAUGUAGGCUUACGCUCCAUAAUUUGAUAAGAACAUAACUUUUUUACUUAAAUCUCAGCAAAUAAAUCUUUCAUUCAGCUAAACUCAAAGGCAAACCGUGAGACUUGGAGCUUUACAGUACGCUUCAUUUAUCAAAUAAACAUGCAAUCUCAAUCAAUAAACCCAGAGAGAGUUGAUAAUUAAAACUAACGGUAGCAUCAAUUUGAAUACUACAAAGUGGAAAGAAGCAAAGAGUUUGGACUUACAGGGUGGAUACAGGAAAGACAGUAAGAGGGGUUCGGCAGCAACUUUCUUGUUUGAUGUUUCAGUCAGCCAAGAAACCAUAGAAGAAAAACAACACUGAUUCCUGUUUCCACCAAGAGAUCGAGAACGUCACAAGAUGAUCUUUUCCAUGGAAAAUGGAUACCAAAGCUAAAAGGGAAGACAAUUCCUAACUAUUGGUCAAGUAGUUUACUGGCGAAGCAGACAUUUCUUUUAAAAAAAUUAAAAUAAUUUGUAUAAAAUUUAAUUGUUUUAAUAUAUCUUAUUAUUUUGAGAUCAUUCAAAAACAAUAUUAUCAUUUGUUAAAAUAUAUAUGUACUCAAAAAUAUUUUUUAAAAUCUGAAAAAAAAUGUCAAAUGUCAUUGGUCUCUCUCUUAACUAAAACUUUCACACUAUUAAUAUAUCAACAAAUUAUUUAAUUUAAUAUAAUCUAGAGCCAAAUUUAAUAAUAUAAUUAUAAAAUUAUAUUAUUAAUUGAUUUUCUUAAUUUGAAAUAAUAAUUAAUAAUCAAAAUAACAAUGAUGAAUUAUAUAUCCAAGUUUCUUUCAAAUCUCAAAAGCAACUAUUAAAAACUCACAUGUGUGAUUGUGAAUGUAGUCAAUAUGAGAUUAUCAAAUACCCAUAAAAAUAAAGCAAACCUGAAUAAUAAUAAAAAAAAGAGAUGUAACCAUUAAAAGAUAGCUAAAAAAGCAGUAUUUUAAAAUUUAAAAAAAAAUAAGUUUUUUUUUAAUUUUUUUCAAAUUAUUUUUUUAUUUUCAAAUUAUUUUGACAUGCUGAUAUCAAAAAUAAUUUUUUUAAAAAAAUAUAUAUUAUUUCAAUACAUUUCUAAAAAAAAAUAUUUUAAAAAAUAAUUUUUAUCACUCUUGCAAAAAGACCCUAGACUGUUUGUUUAAAAUAUUUAUAUGUUUAAACUUAAAAAUAUUUGUUAAAGAAAUAAAUUAUUUCAAUAUAUUUAUAAACAAAAAGUAUUUCAAAGAAUAAUUUUGACUACACUAGCAUUGAAAUUUGUAUAUGUUUAAAUGAAAAAAUAUUUAUUUUUGAUAAAGCAUUUUAUCAUAAAAUAUUUGCUUAAAAUUGAUUAUAUGUUUUAAAAAAAUUAAAAUUUCAAAAUUACUUAAGAAUAAAAGAAUUUAGAAAUAAAAAUUUCAGUUUUUUCAAAGAAAUAAAAUCAUGCUCUUGUGUAGUGUAAGAGCGUUUUAAAUAUGAAAUGAAAUUUUAUCAAGUUGAUUGGUAAAACUUGUUAAACUAGUAUAUUAAAAAAAAUAACAUGGAAAUACAUAAUAAACAUAUUUGAAAACGUAAAGAUAUAUUAUAAGUAUAAUGAUAUAAUGAUAUAUUAAGCUUGACUUGAGUAGAGUUGUUAGUCAAGUUAAAUAAGAUAGUGACCUGGCAAAAUUUAGUACCAGAUUUUUCAUAAUUUAAUCAAAUCUAGUUCAAACUAAACCAAGUUAACAUCUAAAAAAAAUUUAAACAUUAUCGUCCUAAUUGACCUAGUGAGCAUGGAGAAUAUUAUUACCAUGUGAAACAAAUUUAAUGAGCAUACACAAAUUAUAUAUUUUCUGUAUUAUAAAAAAAUCCACAACAAUUAGAAUUUUUUUCUCUUUAUGGCAGGGAUAUGUAUGGAUGAGCCGAUACAUUACUUAUCGAGUAAAAAAUUUAAAUAUUCAUAUUUUAUAUAUUAAGUUUUAGAUAUUCAUAUAGAUAUUCAUUAUUUGACUAUUAUUUAAUAUUUAACAAAAAAAUAAAAUAUUUAAAGUAUGUAUAAAUGUAUUAAAUGAUAAGUGUGUAUCUUGAGUUAGGUUUGGGUUGGGUUUUGGGUCAAUUUUGAUAAUAUUUAUAUUUUAUUCAUUAUGUAAAAUAAUAUUAAAAAAAAGUUUAUUUAUUUGGACUGGGUCGGGUUAGAUAAAUGUUCAUCGAAUUUAGAUUAAAUUGUUAUGGAUAUGUAUUACAAUUUUAUAAUCAAAAUUAUUUUUUUAAUUCAUGAUUUAGGUUGUGAUUAAGUCAUUCAACCAUGGAUAAAAAACUCAAAGCCAAAGAGAAAAAAAAUGAUGGAAAGGAACCAUCAAUUUGUCCUUUGAUGAGCAGAACCUAAAAGAAAAGCAGAAUCCGACAGUGGAGGUAUAGGCAUCCGCAGAAACACGGAACCGUUCGCGCCCAUGUCUUUGGAAUCUUGAGAUUACUAAAAAAUGCUUGCAAGAAAAUAAAAGGUUGUUUUCAUAUUAAAAUAUAAUUAUUUAAUCUUUAUAAUUUUAAAUCUAUAAAUAACAUAAUCUUAUUUUAUUAAUUUCAUAUCUUUUUUAAUUUUUAAAAAAUAAAAAAAAAAAUAAAAAUUUAAGUACAUAGGAUCCAAAAAAAUAUAUAAAAAAAGAAGGUGUGUUUCAUUACCAAAUAACUUAAUUACCAAAUAACUUAAAUAAAAAAUAAUUAGCUUUGCUAAACUAGGAAGACUAAAUUUUAACUAUCGUAACAGAAUAAUAAUAUAUUAAAGUUGUCUCUAAAAGAUAUGCUCUCCAUUUCAUCCAUCAAGUUUGGAUUUUGUCAAAUUUUGCAAAAGAGAAAGAAGAAUACAUCACUGAUAAAAAUAAAUAAAAGAAUAACCUAAUUGUUACAUUCAAAUUUUCUUGGAUUGGACAGCAAUUCACACCUCUACAACCUUAUCAAAAUAAUUAUUAAAUUAUUUCUACCGUGAAACCCAAGUGUCAUAUUAAUUAUGCCUUCUCUUUUUAAUCGGGAGAGUAACAUCGUCAAAACCAUCAUCCCAUAUCAUGUCAUUUGUCUGGCAACAUUGCUCUCUUGGCUUGAAACAUUGCUUCCAAUCCAUCAUUGGCAUGCAGUAGACGAACCCCACACUCAACCACUUGACAACGAUCUAAUUGUAAGAAAUUGUAUACUGGUUGGAAAUGGUAUACUGGUUGGAAUUCAAUUGAGACCUCACUGUAUUCACUAAACAUAUCCUUUUCUUUGGCAACCAAACAGGGAUCAAAUACAAAUAUAAGAUAUGUGUAAAUGUUUAUCUUAUCAAACUUCUCAUGGAGAUAGCAAUAGAGAUUGUUGCUACCCAAUUUUUGACCCAUGUUUUGAUAUAUUUUCAAAAAAUCCAAAAAAUUGAGAAAAGCAAAGAAAAUCCAAAAAUAUGUUUUUUUAAUAUAUUUUCGUCAUUUUAGCAUUUUCAACGGCGUCUAAAAAAGAAUUUAAAUUGUUAAAAUAUUUUCAAACGCGUUCGACUUUUCACACGUCAUUUUUAAAAUCAUUGAUUUUCCGCAUUUUGAGUCAACGUUGAUAUUGCUCGUUUUCAAAAAAUACAAAAAAAUAAGAAAAAUCAAAAUUUACAAAAAGAAAGAAGUUGAGGGACCAAGUCGAAAAACCUAGUAAUAUUUUUGCCUAUAAAUACCAUGCUAAACUUAUUUUUAAAAGGGGGGGCAAUUUUGAAACUUCAGCAAAGAUAUAAAAGAAAAAACCCUAAACCUAUCUUUUGGUUUUCUCCAAACAGCCUACCCAAAGCAGCCGCCCCCUACCCGGUGCAUUUUUGACCCCGCCGUUUCCCAUCUUCUUUGCAAACACAGCCGCCCCACCUUUGGCUUGGAUUUUUCGAGACCAGCCCUCUCGGCCAAAGGAACAAACCAAAAACCCCCACCUCCUGCUUUUUUUUUUUUUUUUCCAACAACCGCCACUCUUUUUCUCCAAAACAGCCGCUGGUCCAACCAUUUUCUUCCACCUCAACUGGCCAGAACAGCAGCCCCAGCUUGGAUUUCUUUUUCCCCACAAACGCCGCCCGAAACGACCACACCACCACCGAAACUCCCCCCCUUGCCUGGUGAUUGUUUUUGCCCCGGUUUGGAUUUUUUUUUUCUCUAAAAACCAGCCGAAGCAGCCACUCCACUUCCCCAUUUCCCCCUCACCUUGUUGUUCCCCAGCCGAAACAAAAAAAGCCAGCCAACAAAGAAGGCUGCCUUCCCCAUCUCCCCGUCAUCUUCCCUCUCGGCCUGCACAGAGCCACCGCUCCUUCUCCCCUCCGCCGCAGUCUCCUAGCUUCUCCACCCGACAGACCCGAACGACAGCCUUCAAUGGUGCCCACGAACAACAGCGUCGCCGCCCGAUCUGCCACCGGGGAAGGAGACAGGAGCAACGGGCAGAAAAAAAGCUUCCCGGCGAGCCACCUAACACUCCUCAACAGAUCUGCGAUUGAGGAAGGAGGAAAGAGGAGCAGAUCUAAGACGAUCUGAAGAAGAGGAAGCAGCAGGCGGAGAAAGAAAGAACAAAAAAAAAACAGAUUUGAAAAAACUAAGAAAAAGUUAAAAUCGACUGAUGUGGUUGUUCUUUUUUGUUGCAGGUCACACCGGCGAAGACAGAGAAGAAGAAGCCAUUCGGGAUCUGCUGUUUCCCAAGUUUCUUCACGACGGCGCGUGAACCCACGCGCCGCUAGUGGCGGUGGUGCGUGGUUCCACGCGCCGGAACUGUUCAUUCAUCCCCAGAAGUCUUUCCGUGCAAAUUCAGGAGUUUUGAGGGACCAUUUUGUAAAUUUUAAAGUUUUAAUGUAACUUUUGUUUAUUUAUUUUAAAUUUGUAAUAUGUGAAUGUAAAAGAAAAAAAAAAGAAAAGAAAAAAAAUAAUAAUAACAAAGGGGAUGUGUGUGUUAGUGUAUUUUUAUUUAUUUAUUUUGAAUUUGUAUUUGUAUUUGUAUUUGUAUUUUGUGGAUGAAAAAGAAAAGAAAAAAGAAAAGAAAAGAAUAAAAAUAGUGAAAGUGUAUGUGUGUGUUUGUAUUUUGUUUUAUUUAUUUGUAUAUAUUUUUAAGGAUGAAAUUGCAAAUACAUUAAAGAAGAAUUUAAUAUUUUGAUCGGAUCACGGUUAAGAAUUAUUAACUUAUACGUAAGUGAUAUUUCUAAUUUCCGAAGAAAAGACAAUUAUUAAAACUUCUUUAACACGUCAAAGCCACGAAGCAGCUUACCUCAGGUAGGGUGCGUUAGGGGUGCUAAUACCUUCCCUAACCACAACCAGUCCCUUACCCGCGAAUCUCUGACAAGACUAGUGCAUCCGGUUUCCUAGUAGCCCGAAAUCAAUUACUAGGUGGCGACUCCAACGAACCAAAUUCAAGCAAACACAAUAAACGAGAUUUAAAUCGCCAGCCGAUGCCGCGCGCUGAGAUUUUUUGGGGUGCGACAGAGAUCAUGUCUAUCACCGUGCUUAUUGCGGAAGUGAUAUGUGCAUUUAACUUCCAACUCAAAGUCCAAAGAAUAAGAUGCAAUGACAACGCAAAGACAGAAACCCAAGAACUCGCUGCUAUCACAAGAUAGCUGGAAUGUUACUGUAGAUCCCCAACUUUGAUGGCUAAACCACUUCCUAGUCAUAACUCCAGGAAGGCAGAAACUAGAUGCCGAUGCUCGAACAUCGGACUUCUCCUGUUAACACAAUUCAAAUAGCAUCUUUUUAAAAUAAGACAUUGCAAAUAUAGAAGGAAAGAAAAAAGCAUGUUAGAGGUUUGAGAAACAUACCACAUGACAGGGUAAUCUGAACCUUUCGGAAUAAAGUUCAGAAUUCAAUAAUUUAUACGUCCUACGCAUGAUAGAAGAAUCCUCCCCUCUAGUGGCUUGGAACCUUGCUCUCUUGGCUUGGAACAUUGCUUCCAAUCCAUCUCGAUCCAGAAUAUGAAAACGAGAGGAGCCUGGCUUGAUCAAAUCAAAGGGAUGUAUCUCAUCUUCAUACAGUAGACGAACCCCACACCCAUAUACUUGACAAAGAUCUAAUGGUAAGAGAUUUCCGUUCAUAAAUUCCGGUUGGAACUCAAUAGAGACUUCACUGUAUUCACUAAACAUAUAAUCUUCUUUGGCAACCACACAGGGAUCAAACCCCACCAAUAUGUGUUCUGAGUUGAUUCGCUUCUCAUCAUACCAACCAUGGAGAUAGCAAUCGAGGUCACAACUAUCACCAUGCUUAUUGAGAAAGUGAUAUGUGCAUUUAACUUGCAAACUGUGACUGACAGAACCAAAUGCAAUAACAGCGCAAAGAAAGAAACCCAAGAACUAUUGUAAAGCUUUAUUGUUAUUGUUAAGCUUCUGUUUUUUGUAAUAAAACUUCGUGUUUUAUCCCCUCUUAGUGUUUUAAAACCACCACCAGUGGUUCCUCCCACCAACAAUUGGUAUCAGAGCCCCGUUCGUCGGAAAACAGAAGAGUUGUGGGGUAUAUCCGAAAUUUCAAAGUUGUCAAAAACAAGUUUUGAUCAUUCCAUAGUGUAGAGCUCAUCAAGACGAGUUCACUGCCGCAAAAAUCAGCCUGAUCGGAGUCCGGGGUGAUCCACACGCGCCGUCUGAAGAUCCGGUGACUGUCACCCACGCGCGCCCACGCGCUCCAGAGGAAGACGACGAGUGUCGUCCACGCGCGCCAUAUUCGAGCCGUGUAAGCCGCCUAAGCCGAGCGCCAGCCGAGCCGAUAGCCGAGUCCAGCCGAGCCACAAGCCGAGCCGUCCUCCGCGCCGAGCCGAGCCGUAUUCCAGCCGCAGCCGAGAGAGAAUAUUCCCCGAAUAUUCCCCAGAAUAUUCCCCAGAAUAUUCCCAGAAUAUUCCCCAGAAUAUUCCCCGAAUAUUCCACAGAAUAUUCCCGGUUCAACCCAGCGAACCGCCCGCCGUACAUAAUUGGUUUUUUGACCGGUUCACCCAUUUUUUGACCCGAUUUCAACAAAGUAAGACCGGUUCCCUACUAUUUGGACCAUUCCGGAUCGAUCUACAGUGUCCGUUUGGCCAAAUUCGGCUCCCAGAAAGGUGAUAUAGUCAUUCAAAGAGCAAAAUGACUACAGAAGGUACACAUACACUCAUCCCGAAGCUGACCAAAGACAACUAUGAUAGUUGGUGCAUCAGAUUGAAGGCAUUCCUUGGGUCACAAGAGUGUUUGGAUAUUGUACAAACUGGUUAUGAUGAACCAGAAUCCAAAGAAAGAGAAGAUGUUUUACAAGAGGCACAGAAGCAAGCUUUGAAAGUCAACAGAAAGAAGGACAACAAGGCAAAGACCAUCAUCUAUCAAGGUCUUGAUGAAGAUACAUUCGAGAUAAUAGCUUCCGCUGAAACGUCACAUGAUAUAUGGGAGGCUCUCCAACAGAAAUACAAAGGUGCUGACAGAAUCAAGAAGAUUCGUCUUCAAUCUUUGAGAGGAGAAUUCGAAUUAUUACGAAUGAAGUCCUCAGAAUCUAUUUCUGAUUAUCAUACAAGGAUUAUGGUGAUAGUCAAUCAGAUGAGGAGAAAUGGAGAAGCCAUCAUAGAUACUCGAAUUAUUGAGAAAAUUUUGAGAUCCAUAGAUCCAAAAUUUGAUCAUGUUGUUGUCGCAAUUGAAGAGUCCAAGGAAGUGGACAAGUUGACAGUGGAUGAGCUUAUGAGUUCUUUGCAAGCUCAUGAGCAGAAGAUUGUAAUGCGAAAUGAAGAUAAGGCCAUUGAGCAUGCCUUACAAGCAAAGCUGUCUUUCAAAGACAGAUAUGAGCAAGGGGAGACUUCAACAGGUGGCUACACCACUCAAGCAGGAAGUCAACAAUCCAGAGGAGGAUUUCAUAGAUUCCAAGGAAGAGGAAGAGGAUCUUGGAAUACAAGCUUCAGAGGAAGAGGUGGUAGAAGCACCACCAGAGGAGGCCGAGGACAACAAGCAUUCACUCCUAGAGGAAGAGGAGGCGGUUACAAUAACCGUGACAAGAGGAAUAUCAAAUGUUAUAGCUGCAAUCAAUUUGGGCACUAUAGCACUGAAUGCCGAAGGAAAACUCCGUUGAGAUACGUGAGCAAGCAACUAUGCAGAAGGAUGAUAGAGAAGAAACUGCAUUUCUUGUCCAACAAGGACAUGAGAAACAUGAGGAUAUAUGGUAUCUUGAUACUGGAGCCAGCAAUCACAUGUGCGGCUACCGAGAGUUAUUUCGUGAUCUAGAUGAGACCAAGCAAGGUCUAGUUACUUUUGGAGAUACCACAAAGGUUCCAUUCAAAGGUAAAGGCAGCAUCCCAGUUAAGUUGAAGAAUGGCGAUUCCAGCUACAUCGCCGAUGUCUAUUAUGUCCCAGCCAUAAAGCAGAACCUGAUCAGCUUAGGUCAACUGUUGGAGAGAGGAUAUAUCUUUUACUCGAAGAAUUGUCAUCUGGCAAUUAGAGACAACAAUGGGAGAUUAAUGGCCUACGUGAAAAUGUCCAAGAAUAGGAUGUUUCCUUUGAACAUCCAGUAUGAUGCAACAAGGUGUUUGAGCGCCAUCACCAACAGUGAAGAAUGGCUUUGGCACCUAAGGCUUGGACAUCUGAAUUUCACAAGUCUGAAGAUGCUAGUAAGCAAGAAGAUGGUCAAAGGUUUGCCUCACAUUGAUCAUCCAGAUGAAGUCUGUGAGAGUUGUGUCCUCAGCAAACAUCACAGAUCCAGUUUUGCCAAAGAAGUCAACUGGAGAGCAAAGAGGCCACUGGAGUUAGUACACACAGAUGUGUGUGGCCCAAUUACGCCUAUGUCGACUGGACAAAAUAGGUACUUCCUCACUUUUACUGAUGAUUAGUAGAAAGACAUGGAUAUACUUUCUGAAGAGGAAGUCAGAAGUAUUCAAUUGUUUUAAAGAUUUUAAAGCAAUUGUGGAGAAGCAAACUGGUUACACGAUCAGAACCGUAAGAUCUGAUCAAGGUGGAGAAUAUACAGCCAACGACUUUGAAGCCUUUUGUACACAACAAGGCAUCAAACAUCAAACGACGCCAGCUUAUACACCACAGCUGAAUGGUGUAGCAGAAAGGAAGAAUCGCACGAUUCUUGACAUGGCCAGAAGUUUGCUCAAAGCAAAGAAGCUGCCCAAGCAAUACUGGGCUGAAGCUGUAUCAUGUGCAGUGUAUCUGUUGAAUCGCUGCCCAACCAGAAGUUUGCAAGGAAUCACUCCAGAAGAAGCAUGGAGUGGUCACAAACCAAGUGUUACUCAUCUACGAGUCUUUGGUUGUGUGGCAUAUGCAAAGAUCCCAGAUGCAAGAAGGAGAAAGCUCGAUGAUAAGAGCGAGAAAUGCAUCUUUGUCGGAUAUGGUGAAAGAAGGAUGGGAUACAGGCUGUAUAAUCCCAUCACGAAGAAGGUGAUUACGAGUAGAGAUGUUAUCUUUGAAGAAGAUAAAUCUUGGGCAUGGAAUGAUGAUCAAGAAGCAGUCAGAUGGAUCAACACUGAUUUGAUCCUUGAAGGUGAAGAAGUACCAACAGUACUUAUAGAAGAACCGAUUGUGCCAGCAGCUGAACCACAAAGUCCGGUGCACAGAUUCCCUGUAUUCAACAGGAGGAAUACACCAGGAGCAUCAUCAUCAACACCACCAUCAGCAUCCUCAUCAGAAGAACCAAGAAGGAUGCGGAAUCUUGAAGAGCUGUAUGAUGCCACUCAAGUUAUGGAAGAUACAAAUUUAUUUUGUUUCUUUGCAGAUAGUGACCCAUUAAGCUUCAAUGAAGCUGUCACAGAAGAGAAAUGGAUAACAGCAAUGGAUGAAGAAAUACAUGCCAUUGAGAAGAAUGAUACCUGGAAGCUGACUUAUCUACCAGAAAACAAGAAAGCAAUAGGUGUCAAAUGGGUCUACAAGACGAAGAAGAAUGCCAAAGGAGAAGUGCAAAGAUACAAAGCCAGAUUAGUGGCUAAAGGCUACAAACAGAGAGAAGGCAUUGACUAUGGAGAAAUAUUUGCUCCAGUAGCCCGGCUAGAGACAAUCAGACUGAUGAUCUCACUAGCUGCACAACAUAGAUGGAAGAUCUAUCAACUCGAUGUGAAGUCAGCAUUUCUGAAUGGCUUCCUAGAAGAAGAAAUCUAUGUUGAACAACCACUUGGAUACAUUGAUGCUGAAAAUGAAGGCAAAGUAUACAAGUUGAAGAAGGCUCUCUAUGGUUUGAAGCAAGCUCCGCGUGCUUGGAAUACCAGAAUUGACAGGUAUUUUCAAGAUAAUGGAUUUGAGAAAUGUCCAUAUGAACACGCAAUGUAUGUGAAGAAAGGAGCAGAUGGCAGCAUCUUAUUUGCGUGCCUGUAUGUUGAUGAUUUGAUAUUCACCGGCAACAACCCUACCAUGUUUGACGACUUCAAACAAAGCAUGGUACAGGAGUUUGAAAUGACUGACAUUGGUCUAAUGUCACAUUUUCUUGGCUUAGAAGUAACGCAGAAGGAAGAAGGGAUUUUUGUAUCCCAAAGCGGUUACGCCAAAGAUAUUCUUGAAAGGUUCAAGAUGGAAAGCUGCAAUCCGGUAUCAACUCCAGUUGAGAAUGGAGUGGAAUUGAGGAAGAGUAAGGUUGGAAAUGUUGAUCCAACUUACUUCAAAAGCUUAGUAGGAAGCUUAAGGUACUUGACAUGUACCAGACCAGAUAUACUCUACGGAGUCGGACUCGUCAGCAGAUACAUGGAGACACCAGACCAGUCUCAUUUGAAUGCAGCCAAGAGAAUUCUUCGCUACAUCAAAGGCACAAUGAAUGAAGGUAUGUUUUAUACCUCAAGUAAAGACUUUAAUCUUGUAGGCUACUCGGAUAGUGAUUGGGGUAGAGAUUUGGAUGAAAGGAAAAGCACAACAGGGUUUGUCUUUUUCAUGGGAGACACAUCUUUCACAUGGUCAUCCAAGAAGCAAUCGAUUGUCACGUUAUCAAGCUGUGAAGCUGAAUAUGUAGCUGCCAACUCAGCCGUAUGCCACUCAAUAUGGUUAAGGAAUAUGCUGAAGUUUUUGGGAUUUCCUCAAGAAAAUCCUACGGAGAUUUAUAUUGACAAUCGAUCAGCAAUCGCAUUGGCAAAGAAUCCAGUGUAUCAUGAGAGGAGCAAACAUAUUGAUACACGUCAUCACUUUAUCCGGGAACAUGUGAAGAAUGAAGAAGUUCAACUGAUAUCUUGCAACACAAAUGAUCAAGUUGCAGACAUCUUCACAAAGCCAUUGAAAAGAGAAGUAUUUAUCAGAUUAAAGUACAUGCUAGGCAUGACAUCCCUCGAUUGAGUUUAAGGGGGAGAUUUGUUGAAUAUUAAACUCAACAUCCAGAAGGUCAAGGAAGGCAACCACCGCCUCACCGGCCACCAGCUGUCACCGACCAGCCGCCAGCCACCAGCUGCCACCGCCUAGCCGCAUUCACACCAUUGGCCGCCAACCAUUUUUCACACCAUGACGGUUGAAUUUUGAGCCGACUGAAUUUGUGUAUAAAUAAGCAUCUAAGCUAAGGUUAUUAUAAGUGUGGAGAGAAGAGAAAAACAAUAGAUAGAGAGAGAGAGAGGGUGUGUAUUGUAAAGCUUUAUUGUUAUUGUUAAGCUUCUGUUUUUUGUAAUAAAACUUCGUGUUUUAUCCCCUCUUAGUGUUUUAAAGCCACCACCAGUGGUUCCUCCCACCAACAAGAACUUGCUAUUAGUCAAAUCUGAAGAUAACUGGAAUGUUACUGUAGAUCCCCAACUUUGAUGGCUAAACCACUCCGGAGUCGCAUUUCCAGGGAGGCAGAAACUACAUGCCCCUUCUGGAACAUCAGGCAGCUGUAAACACAAUUCAAAUAGCAUCUUUUUUAAAUGAAAGGUGGCAAAUAGAGAAAGAAAAAAGAUGUAUAUCAGAGGUUUGAGAAACAAACCUGAUGGUAUAACCUUUUGAUGUAAAGUUGAAAUUUCAAUAAUAAGUAUGCCAAGAUAUGAUUGAAACAAAGCAAUCUCGAGCAAUUGGUGAAAAUGAAUUCAAAAAUGUUCCCCUUAACUACAGUUGAUGAGCUUGAUACUAGAUAAUGCAAACUCCUGCAAUUGUCUACAUCCAACUUUGAUAGUCGUGGUGGAAGAUCCGGUAAUGAUUCAAGUCUUUUGCAAUUCCUUAAUCCGAGAUAUUGCAACUCAAAGAGUUUAUUGAUGCUUAUAGGUAUUCUCUGAAAAUCGUUUCCACUUAGAUCUAACACUUCCAGUGAAGAAAAACAGCCAAGACUGUCCGGCACUUCCGAUAGACUGCAACCAUCUAGAUUUAGCUUACGCAAACAAUCUAAAUCCACGCAUCUCUCGGGCAAUUGCAAGUCAACAAAACAUUUAAUGUCUUUUAGAUAUUUGCAGUUUCCCACUUCCAAGCAGGCAAGUCCCUUCAAAUUUCUAAUCGGUGAAGGCAACUCUGUUAUGCUUGUCUGUUCUAAAUAGAGAUAUCUCAAACAUACCAUCGGCUUCAAAACUUCUGGAAACUUCCGAAAUUGGACACAACCUGAGAGAUUAAGCCUCUCCAGUUUUCUCAACUUGUAGAUGUUGCUUGGAAGAAUCUCAAAUUGUUUGCAGUUUCUUAGGUGCAAUUCAACAAGAUCACACAAACAUUCUAUUGAGGAGGGAAUCUCUCGUAUUGCUGUCCCAUUUAAAUACAGCUCCUUUAAAUUAUUUGAAAACUUUGGAAACUCCGUGAUACUUGAGCAACCAGAAAGACUAAGUUUUUCAAGACAUACUAACUUAGAAACCGUACUCGGCAGAUUCUUCAGCCUGUUGCAGCCAACUAGAUCUAAAUAAAUGAGUUUCCUUAGAUCACCAAUUGAAGAUGGCAGUUCUUCUAUUGCAGUUGCAUUCAAGUACAAGUAUCUUAUAUUCGUUGAAAAAUCAGGAAGCCUGCUGAUAGAUGAGCAGCCAGAGAUGUCAGCAAUUAGAAGAGAUUUCAACAAAUACGUGUUUUCUGGAAGAUUCACCAGGAGGUUGCAGUUGUUCAAAUUCAACGCAACAAGUCCACUGAGUUCCUCAAUUGAUUGGGGAAGCUCCUCAAUAGCAGUUUCAUUUAAAUUUAAGUAUGUCAGUUUCCUUGCAGUUUCUGGGCACUUCUUGAGAUUUGCACAACCAGAAAGGUUUAGAGUCUCCAGACAACUUGAAUUAAUUCUACUGGGAAGAUUGAUUAGUCUUUUGCAGCCUCUCAAAUCUAAAUCAACAAGCUUGUCCAGAUGCUGUAUAGAUGAAGGCAACAUAACCAAACUUUUACAGAAUUGAAGAUUCAAUCUCUCAAGGUUUCUGGCCUUUGAAAGGUCUGGCAGGAAAGUUAUGUGCUCACAAUUGCUGAGG